rnacentral:lncRNA from 1 species
UUCUUCUUCACUCAUCAUUCUCCACUUCCAUUUUGCAAGCAAAGCCCGAUUAAACUUCUUAAUAUCCUUGACCCCCAAUCCCCCUUCCUCCUUUGAUUUGCACACAUUUUCCCACCGAACCCAGGCAAUGUAUUUGCUAUCUUUGCCCCACCCCCAAAGAAACCUCCUCUGAAUACUGGAAAUCUUAUCACAAACUGCAGUUGGUGCUUUAUAGAACGACAAAUAGGAUAUUGUGUAAACAUUGUUUGAUACAUGUGGUAGACCUUUUAUGCUCUUUACUAAGUCAAUCAUCAUAAUAUAAAUUAAUAAUUAAAGUAUUUUAAACAAAUAUUAAGAGCUUCAUGUGGAGUUUUAAAUAAUGACUUUAUCGAUCUUCAUAUCUACACGAUUCUGGUAUAAAAUAAAAUGUUAACUUUAUGAAAAAAAAAUAUGUUGUUUGAGUAAGAAAUUUUAAAGAAAUUGAAAUUUUAUAAUUUUAUGAGAGUAAUUGGAUAAGUUAAAAUUAGAAAAAUUUAAAUUCUAUCCACAAUUUAAGAAUUUAAAGUUUUUCAUAUUUAUCAUAGUAAUGUAUAUUCUUUUUGUAUUCUCUUCUCAACUUUUUUUGGACUGUCACAAACACUAUUAAUACUAAGACAUUGUUAGGAUGACCAAUUUUCGUUUGAUAUUAGUUAGAUUUCUUUCAUUGAUUUUGAUAACAUUUACUUUUUAAUUAAAUUGUUAGAAUUAAUUUUGUUGUUUUAGAUAAUUUCGUGCUCAAUAAUAAUAAUAAUAAUAAUAAUAAUAAUAAUAAUAAUAAUAAUAAUAAUAAUAGGAGGAACUUCCUAGCUUCAGGACCAAAAUUUGUGCAGAAACAAUUUUAUUUGGUCAAGUUCUUCUUAAGAAGGAGAAUUCAGCUUUAAAAUUCUGGUAAUUGCUGCAAUUCUGAUUAUAAUUAUGCAGAGCAAUGCCUAUUUGUUCUGAGAGUAUUGAAGGGUUUAUUUUAUUUUUUAGCUUUAGCUUUAACUUUUAGCUCUAGCCAAAUAGUGUAGGCAUUUUUUGGUCUGCUUUGAAAAAGAGUAGGUUGACAAUAAAUCCUUAUUGUAAGGGUUGAAAUACUCUUAAAAAGUCUUAUUCUAGUUUAAUUUAUUCACUGUUAAUAAAAAAUGUAAGAGUUUUGUUAAUCAAUAUUAAAGAGAUUUCUAUUUUAUAGAUAUUUUUUUCAAAUGACGUUUAUCUUAGUUAUUUUUGUAAUUAGAUUUGAAUUCUCAUAAACAUAGUCAAAUAUUGAAUCCAAACAUAAAAUUAUGUUAUUUUCUUUUUCAUUUAUAAAAUAGAGGUAUUUUUAUUUUGACAAAUUACUCUGCCUAUAAUGUAAAAUGUUUGGAAAGUAACAUGAAAGAUAUUUAUGAACAAAGUUUUAGGCAGUAGCAUGAAAAAACUGAUCUUAAUAUUUCAAAAAAAUAUCAGCUAGUCAUUUGACUUAUUAAAGAAAAAAGAAAAAAAGGAGGGAAUACAAAUAUUUGUCUUGUGAUGAGAAAUUAUAGGUGAAUUCUUCUUAUUUAUAUAUAAUUUGAACAAAAAAUUGAAGGCAUGAGAAUUUAUUUGCUGAUAAGUGGUAAGGAAUGACUUAGUUACUUAUCUUUUUAUUAUUAGAAUACAUUUCCAUUGAGUCUAAUCCCCAACAAUUGGAUAAAUUACUUAUGAGUCUAAUAAAAAUAUUAAAAAGUUUACUAUCAAUGUCAUCUAACGAUUCGUAAUUGAUGAAAUAUUUAUUUUAAUUAUUUUGUGAAAAUCAAAUUUAGGGUUAUUCGUAUUUUUUGUGAAUGGAAUACUUGUGUGAUAAAUUGGUUAAUUUAAGAUUUAUUCAUAAAGAAUCUUUUUAUUGGUAUAACAUACUAUCAUCUAGGUUGUUCUUAGAAUUCUUUAUAAAUAUGUAUAAUUUAUCUAUGUAUCAUUUUUGUUAACAUAUGCGUUUUAGUCUAAUCUUUUCAUAUUUUUUUUUCUUUUUUAAUAAUACUUUUUGUUUUCAUGCAAUGAUAAAUAAUUAAUGUUACUUGAUGUGUAAAUAUAGCUCUAAAAUGUCAAAUUGCAUAAUGAUGUUUAACAUAAAAGUUUUUAUUUAAAAAUUAAUAAAAAUAUUAAACACAUCAUUUUGUAAUGUUUUUCACUUACAUAAUAUUUUUUAUUGAAAUAAAAAAUAAAAUAAAUAAGAUUAUAUGCCAAUAUGCAAUACCUUAUAGGCGUUUACAUGUUACACUUUGUCUUUAUUUCCCUGCACACAUCACAUCCCAACUGAGUUUCCAAUGUCAUUUAACGACACAUGCAUAAUUCACAAUAUAACCAACAACAAACUGUUUUCAAACCAUAAAUUUUGUAUUUACCAUCCUAUUCGCACCAUUUAAUGAUUAUCUUAUUUAUUUAUUCCUUAUUUAUGAUACAUUUGUCCAAAAUACUUUUUUUCCCAAAUUUUUAUUAUGAAUUUAUAAUGCUGGAUUAUAUGGGUGAUCAAAAGUGUCUGUUUAUCCGCACUUUUUUUUAUUUUUAUAAUUUAUAUAUAAUUAUUUUUAAUAUUAAAAUUGAAUAAAUGAUAUUAUUAUUUACACACUUAUAUUAUCAGUAUAAAUUUAUAGUUAAUUGUUAUCAAAAAAUAAAAAUAGAACCAGUAAUAACAAAUAUGAAAUUAUAAGUAACUAUUCAGUAAAAAGUGAAAAAAUAAUAAUAUAUUUUAUUCAAAUUGUUUCGUAAAUAAAUUAACAGUUCUGCUGAUUGAAAUGAUUCGUAAAUAAAAUGAGAAACCGUUAUGCUGAUUCAAAAAAAAAAGCAACAAAUAGAAAAUUAAAUUCAAAACUGUCUACAAAAUAACGUUAUUUUGGAUAAUUCUCUUUAUAUUUAACUGUUCUUUUAAAAAAAAUUAUAUAUAAAAAAACCAGUUACAAAAUAAUAAAAAUAAUAAUAAAAUAGAAAUAAAAUAAAAUAUUAAUAAAAUGUAACUGAUUUUGAAAAUAAAUCAAACCUCUCUUUCAAUUCAUAAUUGUCCCUCCACAUCUCUUUUAAUUCAACACCACUCUUCCACCUCUCUUUCAAUUCAAAACCGUCUCCACUACGUAUACCAAAUAUUGUAGAAAAAAUAAGAAAUGACACAAUGACCAUAAUACAAUAAUAAAAAUAAAUAUUAAUAUAAGGAUAAAAUGGGAAAAAAAUGAAGAGCAGUUAAGAGGGGAAUCCCCUUUAUAUAUAGUUAUAGAUUAUAUAUAUAUAUAUAUAUAUAUAUAUAUAUAUAUAUCGUUAAAAAAAAUAUUAAGAUAAAGAUACNNNNNNNNNNNNNNNNNNNNNNNNNNNNNNNNNNNNNNNNNNNNNNNNNNNNNNNNNNNNNNNNNNNNNNNNNNNNNNNNNNNNNNNNNNNNNNNNNNNNNNNNNNNNNNNNNNNNNNNNNNNNNNNNNNNNNNNNNNNNNNNNNNNNNNNNNNNNNNNNNNNNNNNNNNNNNNNNNNNNNNNNNNNNNNNNNNNNNNNNNNNNNNNNNNNNNNNNNNNNNNNNNNNNNNNNNNNNNNNNNNNNNNNNNNNNNNNNNNNNNNNNNNNNNNNNNNNNNNNNNNNNNNNNNNNNNNNNNNNNNNNNNNNNNNNNNNNNNNNNNNNNNNNNNNNNNNNNNNNNNNNNNNNNNNNNNNNNNNNNNNNNNNNNNNNNNNNNNNNNNNNNNNNNNNNNNNNNNNNNNNNNNNNNNNNNNNNNNNNNNNNNNNNNNNNNNNNNNNNNNNNNNNNNAUUAUAUUUAUUAAAUUAUAUAUUAUUUUAAAAAUUAGUAAAAUUAUUUGUAUUUAAAAUGAUUUUUAUUAUUAAUAAAAUUUACAAACUAGUUUUUAAAUUGGUAUCUAGUUAGCUAUUAAAGUUUUAGUUAAUAACUAUUUUAAAUUCUAAAGUUGGUAGCUAAAACUUUGAUAGUUAAUUAGAUACCAAGUUAAAAAUUAUUUAUUAAUAAUAAAAAUUAUUUUAAAUAUUAAUAUUUUUUUAGUCAAUAUAGUAAUUAAUUAUAUUUUAUUUUAAAAAUUGAUUUUCAUUUAAUGAUUUAUUUUAGGGUAUAUAUUAAUGACAAUGAAGAAAGUUGAAUUCUAAAAAGUUAUUUUUCUUGAAUAUUUUCAGAACAAUAGUACAAUUAUUUUUAUUUAUAAGGGAUAAUUACAUUAUAUUUAUUAUUUAAUUAUAAUCUCAAUUUUUCUUCUAAAAUAUAAAAACCUUGGAGUAAGUACAUUUAUAUGUAUAUAUACAUACAUACACGAAUACUUUUGUGAAUUAUUUCAGCUAUCAACGAUAUUUUUUCUUUUAUAUAGAAAGGGACAUCCAACCAAAUUCCAUAACCAUGAGCAUUAAAGAAUGUAUUAAAUAUUUACAUUCACAGCAAAGUUUCUGGAUUUUUAUAUGUAUAUGAAAAUAAAAAUAAGAGUAGUGUUCUCCUCACUUUUUUUUAUCAAAUAUUUUAAUUUAGUUUGCCAAGAAUGGUAAAAAUGGAAACAUGGAUAUUAUUGCUGUGUUACAGAGUGAAUAGCAUGACUUGAAGACUAACCUUAAAAACCCGAAGGAAAGGUGCACAUCGAAGGGAGACACAUCAAACAUUACUAUUAUUGAUUGUGCUUUAAGGGCAACCAAACUGGGGCCUUAUUCCUUCCACGUAAAGCACAAUUUGUCUCUUCUUAUGGUUCAUGCACACCCAAAUCACAUACUAAUUCAGUUAGAGCUAUUUGGCGCCUAAAUUUGCAUGAACCAAUUGAAACACCGUCUCUUACUGUCACAUUUUCUCUAAGCACCCCAAUCUCUGUCCUAUUCCUUACAAUUUGUCACAGGCCCCAUGCACAACAUUGCUGCCAUAUAUAUAAAUUCCACAUGUUCGAUGCUGCUACUGCAACCACCAACCAUAUAAUGGGUCAUCAAGGAGAGUACACCGAGCCAGAUAUCCUAGGUUCUGUCAUUGUUGCACUCAAAGUGUUUAUUUUCAUAUUCCUCAAACUUUUCAACACAAAUUAUUUCUGGGUUUUACUUUUGCAGAUUUAUCAUCAGAGAAUUGCCAAGGUUUUGAGUUUAACAGCAGUACUUGGCUUAGUUCAACGUUGGACUCACAAAAGGUUUAUCUUCUCUCUAGUUUCAACAGUUACACGGUUGAAUUUAACUCCGACUAAGAUUUUAAAUUGCAGUUGUGAUAUCAAUGUGGUUGCAUUCGUUGUUUUCUGAUUAUUCCAUCGUUGAUUUGAACAACAGGAAAAAACUGAAAACCGCAAAAGGGAGUGGCAUGACAAGUGUAACAUCGUUCCUAUUUCGGCAGAGGAGUUGAAGAUACGAAGUGAGCUUGGAAUGGAGAUUGAAAAUGACUUGGAAAAAGAGAUCAAGGAGGGUAUAUACCAGCUUGCUCUUCGGUUGCACCGGAUUUACCAGGAGAGGAAGGAAAGAAGUGCAAAAGAAACGUUUGAAGUUGACAAUAACCGAGGUAUAGCAGUUUCUGAAGUUAACAUAAGCAUAAGAAUGGAAGGGAGAAGUAAAGUUGAAAUAAGAGAGGUGAAGAAUGAAGAAAAGGAUGGUCCUUUUCUACGGAAUUUUAGGCCACAAAAUGUGAAGCAAGUGAAGAAGGUUGAUUGGGUAAAGACUCUGAGAGGAGGUUCAAGCCCUGUUUGUGGCAGCAGAUUAUCAAGUGUGAGCUCAAAGCACAAGGGGAAAAAGCUAAGCACAGACCCUAAUGGUUUAUCCAAUUGGAAAAUUCACGGUGGGAGGGGAAAGAAAGUUGGUUCCUUUGGGCUAGUAAAACAGAAUGCAAGUGUGGACAAGAAGAUACUUCAAUUGGGGUGGAAGGUCUGAAGGGCUUGUUUUUUUAUUCCUGAAUUUUAUUUUGUUUUGUUUGCAAAAAAUAAUUUUACACUUUUGAAUAAUUUGUAAGCUCAAUAAAUUUUUAUGGAAUAAAUUAUAAAUGAUUCUGAUAUUAUAUUAAAAAAUAAAUUUUGCUUUCAUUAAUUUUAUGAAAGUAACUUAUAAAGUAAGGUAUGAAACUACUAAUAUAUUGUUAAUUUUAUCUCUAAUUUUUGCUAAACUUCACUUUUAAAGAAGACUGGGCUAAUUACCGCAUUUUGUUGCAUGACACUAUAACCUUGUCACAAUUAGUGGCAUGAGAAGACAAAAGGUCUCCAUGUUUGAGACUUGUAUAUUGAACUCUUUACCACAAACACCAUUGUAGAGACACAUUUUAUAAUUCACCUCCUUCAGUUUCCUCUAAAAUAUAUGUUGCAUCACAUACAAUAGUUAAUGCCAUCUUAAUGAAUUGUAGGCUUUUUUUUAAAAUUAACCUUUACAUUUUAUCACCUACUACCUAAUGGGUGAUAAACAACAUUUAAAUAAUCACUAGUACAAAAUGUAUAAACAACGAUUAUUUAUUUAAUACGAUUUUAGGGUUAGUUGUAAACUCGAUAAAUUUUUUUAAAUUAAUUUCAUUUACUAAUGUGCCUAUUUGUAAUAGCUGCAUUCUUAAAUCAAAACACAUGAUUUAUGAAUGCGACUAUUUAAAUAGUCGCAUUCUUAAUAGCCGCAUUCUUAAAUCAUUUUUUACCCUAAUUUUGAAGCGCGUCACUUACGCUUUUUCUUUGUUUAUGUUCUGGUGUUCCUCUCUUCAUGCGAGUUUCAUUGUGUUCUCGUACCAUUGUAAGUUCGUUUCAAUUCGCUCUCUUUCUUCUUCACCAAUGGUUUAUAAAUUUUUUUCAUUUCACUUAUUUGUUUGUUUUCUUGCAUUGGCGAAGGGUUCUUUGACGCUUCAUUUUCUCUUUUGUUUUUGCUCUCUCGUGCUUUCUCUCGUUUUCUACGAGCCUUCAUUGUCUUCUUUGUGCAAUUGUAAAUUCGUUUCGAGUUCUUUUUCUUCUUCACCAUUGGUUUAUAUAUAUUUUUUCGUUUCUCUUAUGUAUUUGUUUUCUUGUAUUGACACUGCUUCAUUGCCUGUUGUUUGGGUUAUUGUUAUGUCGUAUUUGCUCGGUUGUUGUUGCUGCCACCGCUAUUGCUGCCCUUAGGGUUUAGGGUUUUUAUUUUUAUUUUUUUAAAAUAAUUAAAUAAAAAUGCGGCUAUUUACCAUAGCCGCAUUUAUAAAUCGCAUUUACGAAUGUGGCUAAAUAGGCGCACUUGUAAAUCUCUUAUUUAAGAAUGCAUGCUGAUCAAGUGCGGCUAUAUAGCCGCGCUUAUAAAUGUAAAAUAGCCGCAUUCAUUUUGCCUUUCUGCACCAGUGAAGAUUAACUUAUACAAAAAAAAAAAAAAACCGUUAGUAUUCAAAAGUAUAGAUUUCAUGAACAUAUUAUUUUUAAGAAGAAUUUCCAUAAAAAAUUAUGUUAAUUUUUAGUAUCACUACAAGAAAAUCAUGAAAUAGAAAUCAAUUUUAUAGAUACAAAAUAAUUAAUUGUUAUAGUAACUAAAUUAGAGAUCAUUUUAGAGAUUAAAAAAUAUUUUGGUUUAUAAAUUAGUUUCUAUGCUAAAUAGUUUCUAAAUUGGUAUCUAAUUAACUAUCAAGAUUUUAACUACCAAUUUGGUAGCAAAAACUUUGGUAGCUAAUUAAAUACUAAUUUAGAAACCAUUUAACCAUAAUAGAAACUAAUUUAGAAAUCAAAAAAUUUUCUAGUCUCUAAAAUGGUUUAUAAUUUAAUUACUAUAACAAUUAAUUAUUUUUUGUCUCUAAAAUUUGAUUUUUAUUUUAUGAUUUUCUGUAUGGUGUAUAAAUAUCACCUAUGAAACAUUUCUACUUAAACCCUUGAGAUUUAUUUAUGUUUGUCAUGUAUUCUACAAUUACAUAUAUAUUUUACCUGUCAGCAAUAAUUUUUAAUUCAAUAAAUGAACGAUCUUCUAAUAUUAUUAAAUAAUGAAGAUCACAAUUUUAAAUUUAUUUUCCAAACCCAAUAAUAAAAAAAAUUAACUUGUGGAAAGUUAGCAAAAUUAAAAAUAAAUAAUUAUUAAAAAAAUUUAGUUACUAACUAUAUUAUAAAGUUAGAUAAUUUAUUACAUAUUAAUUUAUAAACUAUUUAUUAAUAAUAAAAACUAUUUUAAAUAUUAUUAAUGUGUGUAUUGUCUAAAAUAAUAUAUAAUUCGAUUAAUAUAAUUAGUUAGUUUAUAUUUAAUUAUUUUUUUUUGUAUAAUUAGUUAUUACAAAAAUUCAGUAUACUUAUUUUAAAUCGAUUUUCAUUGCUGAUACUUUGAUUACAUUUAUAUCCAUAGUAUUAAUUUCCUGUGGCAUUUUAUCAUAUUUUCAUAUCUUUACAGUUUAUGUUUUAUGAAAAAAAAUAUUAAAUAUAUUGUUAGUUUCUAACAAAAAUUGCUUUAGUUAGUCUUCUCUUCUAAAAAUAUAUACUGAUAGAGAAUAAUAAUAAUAAAUUAUCUGCAUAAUAUAAAGGGAAAAUUGAAAAAUAAUAAUUAAAAUAAGUAAAAUAAAAUAAAAAUAUAUUUAAGCUGAAAAUAUAAUAUAUUGUUAUUAUUUAUAGGACAAAAACAGCAUAAGGGGUCGUAUGAUGAUUUGAAUACGGACUAAAAUGUGGAGCAACCAACGGAGUCCUGGUCCACACAUUCAACGUCUUGUCUGUCAGAAGGGUCUUGCAUUCUAUAGCUCUAUCCUUGUGACAAGACUAUUCGUUAAAAUUGCACUAUCAUUAUACAUUAGGCUAUAUAUUUUUGUUUUUCAAAAAUUGAAAUUUGAAUUUAUAUAAGGGUGCAUUUAAACAUAUUGGGGGUGCAGAAUGCAGAGCCCCUGUGAAAAAUGAUGGGUCUUGGAAGGCCCGUGAUAUUAGAAAAGAAAGGCCAAGUGGGAUGGGAAAAAGUGAGAAAGGCGUGUUUGGUAAGUUGGGUUGUAAUUAAAGAAAUGCAUGUGGUGAAUUGGUAUUUAUUUGAAUGAUAAGGAAAAGAUAGAGUGAGAAUGUGGGGGCAUAAAGAUUGGUGUUGGAAUGAUUGUGAAAGGAAAAUAAGAUUGUUUGGAUAUUGGGAAGCAGUAGGGACGGAAGGUUUGAAGGUGAUGGGUGUAAUUGGUAAGGGACACAAGGUAAGCUCACAAACCCAACUUCCUUCCAAACUUUCUCCUUUUUCCUUUCGAAUCAUCAAUUUUUCCUUUGCCAAAACUUUCUAAUCCCGAACCACCUUUCACUUCACACUUUUCAAAUUAUUCUUUUCCCUUAACUACAUCCUUCUUCUACUUAAUUAUGCUCAAUUCCUAAACCCUAACUUCACAUCUUCUUUCAACAAUAACAAUCACUCAACAUGCUCAAUUAUUUCAUUCCAACUCUAUAACUGCACUGCUGAAUAUAUCAGUACUGGGAAAGAAAUUAUCAACUCUUGUUAAUUAUACCACUUCAGUUUGGUUUACAUUAUAUAUUCGCAAACACAUAGAAAUUAAAGGAGAAAUUUGUGUCAAGAUGGCAUCCUUCACUAACAUGUGUUUCCAAGAGUUAUGCUAAUUAACAGGUGUUUUCAAACAUACUUUUUAAGGAAUUCUAAAAAAAAUUGUCUUUUUAUUGAAUUUCACACUGGAGUUCAAUUCAAUGUAACAAUAAAAGUAUAUUCCAAUAACAGACCUUCAAAAAUUUUAAUCUUUAAUUUCUUGACUAGAGUAUAUUGACAUUCUCCUUUACUCGAAUUGAAAAUUCUUCUCUAUAAAGUUUUGAAUAUAUUAUUUUAUUUUAUAUAUGUUAUUGAUUAUCGAACUUUCAUGUUGCUUUUGGUCUGCUCUACCUAGCUGUACAAAGCAAUGAUACUUUCGUAUGUAAAUAUUCACAUCAUAUAUAUAAUUUAUCCUUAAGAACAGUUAUUAUUUAAUAAUAAUAUAAUAACGUAAAAUUAAUAAAAUUUCUCUAAUGGAGAAAAAUUAAUAACCCUCACAACGACGGAGCUUAAGAUGAUGUUAUUUUCACACAUAAUUUUUGUAUAUUUUUGUUCAUGUCAUUUGACUUAUUGCUAUGAUUAUUGGCUGCAGAAUUAGAACUUUAUAACUGACGUUUUUCCCGGAAGUAUAGUAAACCAUUUCUCUUUGAUUGUGUUAGCUAUGCGUGUUCAUUUCUCUUGAAAAGUGGUUAUAAUUAGCGAAGAUGAUGAGUGUGUGUUGCAUAGAAAGAAAGCAUGAGAUGUGGGAUGAAAUUAAUGAGGAUAUUAGAUGAAGUGAUGGUACGUAGUUGGUGAAGUGAAAAAAAGGCAUGGGUGGUUGUGGUGUGAGUUGGAGGAAGAAUAGGGUGAUUUGACGGGCAUGGAGGUUUUGGGAAGAGAUGGGAAAUGAAUGAUGGAAGGGAUAAUAUAGACAGUAUCCGUUAAGGUAGGAGAGAUACGGGUAUCUUAUCUCAUCUCAUCUCAUCUCAUGCAAUGCAAUGCAAUAACCAAAACUUGCACCAAAGGAUUACAUUACAUUACAUUGUGUGGACCACAGUGGAAGCACGCAGCUUUAACUGAUGCUCAAGACCCCCAAAACAAGCAAAGCAUCUUAAACGUGUAAUAGGUAAUGCCCAGGCUUUGGACUACUUAAGAAGCAAGCUGUCCAUAAAAGCAUAAUAUCCUGCUACUAUUAUUCAAACAUCUACACUUUCAUUCUUUCAAUUACCAACCUUACAAACUACCACACUUCUCCAUCUUUCCCCAACUAAUCAACCAGGUCCCCCUUUUACCAUGCACAUUAAACCUCAUCCAUAAACCUACAAACAACCCUCACUUUACAUUCAUCAACCACCUUCUAUAUCUACACUUCUACUCUUACUUCACCUUUUUAAGUACCAAACACAUUCUUAAAUGCAACACCUUCAACCAUCAUUCUUACACGUCACUCAGAUUCUACUCAUACUAAUAGAUUCUCUCCCCCAUCUCUCUCUAAACCUCACUCAUGCUUCACUACAACUCUCAUACCUGCUAGCUGCACCAAUAAAUAAAUAAAUCAACCUCCUGUCCCUAUUUAACUAUUUAUUCUCUGUGUUUAUUUAUAGUUUCUUCAUACAAAGCAAAAAUAUCCUUUUCCAACUCGAAAAACAGAGAUAAUACGGAAGGAAAUUAAAGUCACAGAAAAACUGUCAUGCAUUUCUGAAUUUACAUUUACCCCACUUCAGAAUUUGAGUUUUACAGCAUUUCUUCCCAGCAUAAAAGAGAACAUAACAAAAUAAUUCCUCUCAAACUUCAGAUAACUCACAUGCAAUAAAAUAAAAAAAUUAAUUACAACAGUCCCUUUCCACGCUCAGACCCAGGUCAUGAUGAAGAAAGACCCAACCACCAAUAGAAACAAAACUGGUUCCCACUCAACCUCUUCCCCCUCCACAGUGAAUUGAUCAUAUAACAUCUUAAGAAAGUGUUACUGAUUUCUAGCUCGUUUGAGAAAACAACGUCCAAAGAAAUUCAACACAGUGCCGUACAAACAGUCCAAGGGUUACAAACUACUCACAACUAUUCAUCUUACUUCCGAACUAAUGUAUAUUAUCCUUGCAGAGAUUAAGCAAGUCGAACACUGUUAAGAAAGUCAAGAAAUUAAGCUAAAGAAAAUUGAAAAUGCACGAGGGGGAAGCUGAAAUGAGGCACAAACUAGGACGAAGAUUUUUGUCGCUUUUUUCAGUGCGCGGUGUUAGCGAAAGACAUGAAAAACGGAAAAUGCAGGUGGGUGAGAACGCGUACAUUGAUACUACCGAGGAAGUUCCUGCUUCCUAGUUCCAACAACUGUCUUAGGAUAGAGUUAUCAUAACAUUAUAGACAAACAAAACAGAUGUCAUCUUAAUCAAUUAACCCUUCUCGUCACCUAUAUAUAUAUCUGAUAUCAUCAUCACCAUCCACCAGAAAAAAAAGGUUCCAAACGCGUCACCACCACCACCAUUGUAACAAACUGCAAAAGAAUUCUAACACUAGAACGACAUCAUAAAAAGACUGAUUUUUUGAACUGAACAGAAAAUUAAAUUAGUCCAUGGGCAUCAGCAAUAAUAACUUGAUCUAAUUAACUUACCUACCUCCUCAAACACUAACACAAUAAGAAGAGAAAGAAACCCUAACAAUUUGGGUGGGUGGGUGAGUGAGCUUAAGGGUUGAAGAAGUUUGAACAUCGGAAUUUGCGCACUUUACUAGGGCUUCUUACCGAGAGUGUGCUUGUUGUUAUGCAUCCAAACCUUGAGAACGUGACGCUUCACCCCGGUUUCGUUGCAGAAAGCUUGGACCACACCCUCGUCGUGUUUCUGAAUCCUCCACCCUAGUUUUUCAGCAAGUUCAAGCAUUUUGUCCUUUUGCUCCUGCGUGAACUUUGUUCUGAACCGUUUCUUGGACCCCGUUCCUCCUGCACUCGGGUUCGAAACGUCCUCCUGGUCCUCCCGAGUGCUCUGCGUCCCGCCGCCGCCGGACGUCGACGGCAGCGCUAGCGUCCCAGUCACGCGUGCCUGCCCCCCCACCUGAAGGUACCCAGUCGGGGUCCGGUAGUACGCCGCGAACUGCGGCGGCGGAGGGUGGUGCAGGUGGUGGUGCGAAACCAAGAACGGGUCGACACCGCCGACGGAGGCGCCGGCCCCGUCGCUCUCCUUGCGGUGAAAGUUGCGGUGGCAGCUGCAGGCGGCACAUUUGAGGGCGUCGAGGGAACCCUCCGUCCCCGCCGCCAUGAACUCGCCGCAGCCGUCGAGCGCGUGGCCCCCGAUGCCGACAGCGUGGUCUUGAGACACUCUCUGUAGCGCGCCCUCCCGGAGCCACCGUUGGUGCUGGUUCUGACUGGCUGCGCCGCCAUGACGGCCUCCGGGCCGAGCGGAAGCUUCAUCCGGGUGGGGUCGAAAGCUGCGGCACUCAUACACUGCUCCUCCUCUUGGUCCUCUUGAUCCUCGAAUUCCAUUUUGCAAAAUUGGCGAAAAUCUUAAACUUAUGAGUCCUAUUAAUGACAAGUGAUGGGAAAAUCUAAAAGGGGGUCUCAGUACUCUUCUCGCAGUGUUUCUCUCUCUUUGUUCUCUGCUCUCGUCGUGCUUUCUUUGUCCAAAGGUGUAUUCCUUCAUAUACUUUUGCGGUUCUCUGUUUUGGGAGGACACGACAAUUACAGCAUAAUAUACAAAACUCUCUCUCUCGAUUUGUCUUAAGAUCAUCACCUUCCACCGGCUGUUCCGGUCACUCCGUAAUUUGUUCCGUUUUCGUUUUUCACCGCGAUAUUUUUUCACUUUGCCUCACUCUAGUACUACUCUCAUCACUCCAGGACAACUGACAAAAGGGAUCAAUUUUACUUCAAUAAUAUAUCUCAGUUUUUAAUGCAAAUCUUUAUGAUACAGAACCACCACUCUCCAAGCAUAUGUGAACCUCUUUUCCAGUUUUCUUUUUCUCUAUGCACCAUUUUAUAUUACUCAUUUCAUACAAAAUUCAAAUCCACUCCAUAUCUUUUUCAUUUUCCUAGUAUUCAUAACAAGCUGGUCGUAAAAUUAUUAAUAUAACACACUUCUGUGUUUCUUUGCAUAUGGAAGCGAAAAUCAAUUGUGUGAAUAAGUGGGUUUGUUUUGGUAUAAGGUUAUUAACACAACACAUUUCUAUGUGUUUCUUCGCAUAUGAAGUGGAAAUUCAAUUAUAUGGGAUCCACUAUUUUUUAUAUUUUCUUCUUUAUUUCAUUGGUACUAAAUAACAUAGGCUUCAGUCACUUUUCGCAUUUUCAUUUCCUCCUUUUCGUUUCUUCACCAUAAGAAGUGGAAGACAACAAUAAUCUCAAAGAGUGGGUGUAUUGGUGUAUUAUGUUACAAGUGAAUAAUUAAAACAUUUCUACAUAUUCCUUUACAUAUGAGAGUGGAAAUUCAAUUGUGUGGGGACUACUAUUUUUGUUAUGUCUUUCUUCUUUAUAUCACUGCUAUUAAACAACAUAAGCUUACUUUUUCCAUCUCUUGUUUUUUUUUCCUUCUCUUUUUUUCACAAGAGGAAAACAACAACAAACUUAUAUUUUUUACAUCCACCAUAUUUAUUUAAAUGAUGCCAAACAACAUAAAGUUUUUUUCGCUAUAAAAAGAUUCUGAUAGUGACAAUUUUAAGGAUAAUGUUAGCUUCUUUGAUGAGGUUAAUAAAUUUAAACAUUUUUAUGUAGUCCUUUCCUAUAUAAGGUGGAAAAUCAAUUAGGUGAGAAUUAGGUGAGAUCUAUUUGUUAGAUAUUUUACAUCUAUUAUACAUAAUAACAAUUUGGAAACAAUAUUUUUUAUAUUUUUUUCUCUUUAUUUUCUAGUUAGAGAUGAUGUUUUUGUAGAUGGAUAAGGGUACGUAGAUGUUGUGCUUGCAUGUCUCAUGAUGUUUGAUUUACAACUCAUAAUGCGAGUGCUAGGUUAAAGAAUGAUGUUGUUUUUAUAAGGGUUGAGGUGUAUCUGAAAUACCUUCAUUUUUAUUUAUUCUUUUUUUAAGAUAAAAAAUUAUUUUUUGCUCUUUAUUUUCUUAUUACUAAACAACGCAAGCACAUAGUCACUUCUUUGCAUUAUAAUCCACUUUUUUCAUUUCCUUUUUAUGUAGUUACUUCUUUGUAUUUUCAUCCACUUUUUUUCAUUUCCAUUUCAUAAGUGGAUGAUGGUACUAACAAGUUGAAGGAGGAGCUUACUUUGAUAUAAGGUUAAUAAAUUAAUGCAUUCUUUUAUGUUUUUUUCACUUUGCAUAAGAGAGUAAUAUUCAAUGCAAAAUCCACAAUUUUGUUAUAUCUUUCUUUUGUUUCAUUGUUACUAAACAACAUAUGUUUUGUUACUUGUUCACAUUUCAUUCCCUUCUUUUGGCUUACAUCAUGAGAAUAAAAAGACCACGAGAAAUUGAAAGAAUAAGGCUCGUUUGAAAAACGAGCAAUUCACAUUUCUACACAUUUUGCAUAUCAAAGUGAAAAUUCAGUAUUCUUUCAUAUCUUGCCUUUUAGUUUCACUUUUAAUAAACGGCACAAGUUUCAAUUUUUUUUUAUUUUUGGCAUAUUCAUCCCUUCUCAUUUUCUUUUCAUAAAAAGAGGAAGGCGAUGACAAACAUAAUAGACAUUGUUAUUCUGAUACAAAAUAACAAAUAAACACAUUUUUUUUUUACAUUUUUAUCUCUCUUUCUCAAUCUUUAAGAACGAUAAAGAGAUUCAUCCGUUUAAAAUUUAUGGACUACUAUUUCUAACUCGUUUUGCAUAAUUGUGACAUGGGAAAUAGACCUGUGCUUCUUAAAACAAUUAUGGUAAUAAAUAAAAAAUAAAAAAUAAGUCAAAAAUAAUUAAUUGAAUGAAAAAUAGAAAAAAAAUAGUAUUGUACAGAUAAUAAUAAUAAUAAUAGAAGUAAAAAGUAAUCGAAAUAAGAAAAGUUGGAGACAGACGAAAAUCAUGCGACGCGCUUGAGCAGAUGGCAUGAGAAGCACUGAAACUGAGUGCACGCAUUCCGGUGGGUGAAACGAGUGACGUGGUAUGGAAGUGGUGGAAGGGGGCGCGUGGGCGGCGCGUGUAGUUAGGGGAGCUGAAGAAAAUUGGUUUGUUGUUCCCACAUAGGAGGGAUAAGUGAGGGCGGGGCCAGGAGGAGUGGAGUGGGUGUAGGGUUAUAGGUAGGAGGAAGCACCAUUGUACCUUUGCACACACUUAGAUUGGAUAAUAUUUUACUUUUUAUUUUAAUUUUUUGUUCCUACUUUUUCUAAUCCCUACCUUUCUUUUAUUUCUUAGACUUAAAAUUAAAGUCUACAUCUAUGAUUUUUGCAAAGAACAAACAGAAUUUGAGUGAUAGGUACUAGGGUAGUAGUGGUAGAAUGAGUGAUCACCAUUAUUAUUAUUAUUAAUAUUUUUAUUAUUAUUAUUACAUAAGAAAAUAAAAAUGUAUGUUGUCAGCAUCAAAGGCAGCUGUUGCUACGUGCGGUCUUCUCCGACAUGGGUCACGAGCGUUUGGCGUCAUCAUGCACUUACUUCGCUAAACUAAUUCAAAACAAGUCAAUACUCAAGAACUACGUUGCUUAAAAUAACCUCCUUUCACGUAUCAAUUCAUUUUAAUACAUGUACUCUUCUUUUAGCAAUUACUUUAUAACAAGCUUUUAUGGAAAAUUUGUUUGUAAGACAUAAUUAAAUCAUUUUUUAUAAAUAAAAUAAUAAUUUAUACAUGAAUUUAAAAAAAUAACAAAUUCAAAAUAUAAUACAAGUUAAGUUCUACACAUUAGUUUAUGAUUAAACUAAUUUUGAAGAACUUUAUUUUACUUUUUAUUCUUGUUUUAAUCUUUUUUUUUAAGUUAUGAGUCUGCGCAUUGUUCAUUUUCUGAUUGGUAUAUAGAUCCGUUGAUUUAUAUGAUGAUAAUCUCAUGAUAUAUUCCUUUAAGUUGUAUGAUUGUUUGUCUUAAGUGACUUUCUUUAAGUUAAGCUAGCAGAAUUCUAUAUAAACAUACGUGAGAGUUCGUGUAUAAGGGUUGAACCACUAUAAAGUAGUUCAUAUUUAUUCAUUUGUUAUUAUCGAUAAAAAAAAUAAAAGAUAAUUUAAUAUUAAAUAUAAUUGUAAUAUGCUUACAUUUCCCAUAUUUUAAAAUUAAAUUUAGCAGUACUUUAUAAACCUUCUUUAAUUUUAAUUCAUUGAAUUAAUUCUUGUAUUUUAAUUUAUAGAAAUUAUAAUAGUCACAAAAUACCAAAAUUGUAAUAUAGUUCUUCUUUUAAGUGAGAAACUUUAAAAACAUAAUAAUUACAAAAAUAUAUAUUCUAGAUCGGUUAGAUUAAAACUUACCUUUUUACAUUAAUUAUUAGUAGACAUUGAAACUUUGAUUUUUUACCAAAAUAACGCAUAUAUUAAUUUAUCAAUCAUUAUAAAAUAUCAAAAUAAAUAAUGUAAAAAAAUUAUAUUAUAAUAAAAUGCUAUUAUUUAUUUAAGUGACUUAAAUAUCGUUGACAUAGUGUGAUUAAUAAAAUUAAGAUAUAGUGGAUUGUGAUAUCCUGAAUACUUUUAAUUCUAUCAAAUCACGAAUGCAUUUUACCUUUCCCAGCUUCCAACUUCUUACUUUUGAAUAUUUAACUUGCUUGAUACGAUAUUGUUUUGUUCAAGACACAAGAAAAGAAGAAAAUUGAAGAGAAAUGAGUUUGGGAUUUUGAUAGUAUCAUUUUGAGAUGCAGGAAGCAAACAAUGAGUGAGCAUGUCUUGACCUUGUGAAAAAUAACCAGCCAUUGUCUUCCCCAAUCUCUAGGAAAGCACAACCAACCUUACUCAAACAUAACCAAACACGCAUCAUUGUUUUUCCUACACAAUCAUGUUUUUUUUUUUCAGAAUAAUUUUUUUUAAUUUUUUGGAAGCUAGGGAAGAAGAUUAUAUGGUUGAUUUGUGAUUGUCCAAAAAUAUCACUAUUAUUCAAAUCAAAAUACAAAAGAAAAAAAAAAGAGAUAAAAGAUGAAAUUAUGUUUGUUUGCUGAUAUUUAAUAAUAUUUUUUUUAUCAAUAAUAAAUAAAUAAAUAGAAGAUUUUCACUAUAAUUAAUAAUUAAGAUUCUAGAAUCACGUAAAGAAGUUUGAGAUUAUUUGAAAGAAGAAUACGAUGGGAAAAAAAUAAGAAUUGAGAUAUGAGAGCAUUAUAAGAAAUUUUGAAUUGAAUGCGAUGAAAGAGUUAAAGAAAAAUAAAAAAUACUCAAAUAAAUUGUUAGGUAUUAUUAACCGGAUAAAAUUUUGGUAAUGGGGUUGGAGAAUUAUGAAACAUUUAUUACUUCGUUAGAAAACACAAAUAAUUUGUCAACAAUUACUUUGAUAGAAUUGAUACAUUUGUUGCAAGCACAAAAGCAACAAAGAUUAAUAAGAGGAGUCUCUACCAUUACCAUUGAGGGUAAGAUAAAAGUUUUUUCGCAAUCAAGAACUACAAAAGGAGUAAAUACAACAAAAACAAAAGACAUAAAUUUUUCAUCUUGUUCCUACUCCAAAAAAAAUCACCAACAUAACAAAUGUUAAUGAACGCCAAUUGUAAAAUGCUAAGUUGGGAUAUGUGGAAAAUAUAUGCAAAUCCCAAUAUUCAUAAGAAAAUGUUAAGAUUGUAAAGGAAUAGUGAAUUAGAAGACGAACUACUUCUUGCAUUGCAACUGCAUUUGUUACAACCAACAAAUCUAGAAAACAUUGGCUUAUAGAUAGUGGUCUUUACAAAACACAUGACCUAUAAUGAAUAACUUUUGAAAGAGCUUAAUAAAUCAUAUAUUUCUAAAGUAAGAUUUGUGAAUGGAAAAUAACUUAUUGUCGAAGGUAUAUAGAAUUGCAAUUAAAAAUCAUUUAAUUGUCAACUUAAUUUUUGAUAUCUUAUAAAUAAUCGAGAUUAAUCAAAAUUUGUUAAGUGUUGCUAAACAAGGUUAUAAGGAGUACUUUGAAAACAAAAUUUUUGCUUUGAAUUUGAUGAAAAAUGAGUUUGUUACAAAUAAAGAAAAUAUAAAAAAAAGGUCAAAAUAAAAAGAAGAUGAAUAUUUUUUGAAAAAAAUUCAUGUCCAAUAGAAAGUAUACGAAGAACCACAUUCUAACGUCCAUCAAAAGUACAACAUGAAAUUAGUAAUAGACAAAGAAGAUGAGAUUGAUGAAAGAAGAAUUACAAUUUCAAAAUGAAUAAAAAAAAUAUAUAAGAACUAUGAAUAAAAAAGAGAAUAUAUGUCAAACAUUAAAAAAAAUGAUAAUAAAAUUUAAAAUUCAAAUAAAUAAAUAUUAAGAAAAUAAUAAAUAUUGAAAACAUUUACUUAAUAUAUUUCAUUGUUUUUCACAAAAAAGAUAUUAAUUUUUUAAGAUAAAAAUAUACUUGAUAAUAUUUUAAUAUUUAAUAUUCCGUUAAAUAAAAUAAAUCACAAAUUUCUCCAUCUAACAUUUCUCUAUUUUCAAAAUGUCAACAAUUUUUCCUCUUUCAUAGAAUUUAGUUUUUAUUUUAUUAUUCUUUAAUUUUAAUUAAAAGAUUUAGUGUUUUUAUUAGAUUUAUUUAAAAAAAAAGCGACUAAAUAGUCAUUAUUGUCCCGGUAGGACUACUUAUAAGAUGGGUUUUCAACCAAAUUCUUCCUCUCUAUCUUUUAUAUACACCUGCUUUUUAAUUGCACGCCCAUUUAACUUAAAUAACAGAUAAGCUUCUUUUCUCAUAACUUAAUACAUUCUUUUCGUUUUUUCCUCUGUCCUUAUGAGCUUACUUUUCUUUACAUUUUUACUGGUUUCAGUAUAUUACGCGAAGCAUUCAACUAACAGUUAAAUUAGGUAAAUCCGUUAGUAAUAAUCGAUCAUGCUUAAGAAAUAAAUUCAACAGCGUCUAUUACAUCGUACAAAAAAGUUGAUUAAUGGAUUAAUUAAACAAUAAAAAUAAUAAUUAGAAUUAAAAUCGUUAAUAUUUACCCGUGUAUAAUGUUUUGACCUGGGGGGCUGUAACCGAAACUGUCAUGCUUGAAGCUGCUGCUGCUGCUUAUGUCUCGACACAUGAACCUUUUUCAAAUUUAACUACAACGAACAGUACAAAAUUAUUAGAAACUUUUUCGAGUGAAGGAUUUUUUAAAAGUUAUAUAUAAAUAAUUUCCUCAUUAAUUUUAGUACUGUAGAAGUAAGAGUAAUAAAUUAAAAAAUAAAAUGUCUUCUUUCAAUCUUACUUUUGUUUGAUUGGGAUGACAUGACAGGGAAGUGAGUUUGAUGAAAAUUUUGAGGGCCAAUUAUCAAAUUCAAGUAUUAUCUAUUUUAUAGGUCUGUAUUUUGUUAUAAUUUUAUUUUAAAAAAAUAUUUUAGUGAGUUAGAGGAGAGAUGAGUAUAUACAUUAUAGAAAAUAUUGAUGAUAGUCUUUAAAAAAACUCACUAAAUAAUAAUUAGAGUGAAUUUAAUUUUUCUUAAGAUUAACAUUAAUAUUUUUAUAGUGAUAAAUAAUGUACUGCCGGAGAAAAAAAAAUGUGAAGGCAGUUAAUAUUAAAAGGAAUAUGAUGAAUAAAAAAAAAGUAGGAUUGAGAGGAAAGUUACGUCAACAUCAGAUAGAUUUGAUGAAAGAUGAGGAAAUAUAAGCCAUAAUGCAUGUGUUAACUAAAAAUAAGUUGAAGAUGCAUAAUAACAUAUAUAACAUAACAUAGCAAAACAAAGAAGAGAAGAUACGGAUCCCACCCAAAAUUAUUGUGUGUACUCUAGACAGAUCUCUGACUUGUCUAUUUUGGUUGAAAUUUAUUUUGAUGUUUUUGUAUAGAUUGAGAGGAGAUAAAAAGAUAAUAUUUGAUUGAUUUGGUAUUAUCCAUUUUUGUAAUUUUGUUGAUAAGAAAAGGUGAAGUGGGCAGUCUAAUCACAUAAAAAUGUGGGAACGGCCCCCAAUAAUUGAUGCAGAAAGGUCCUUGAUCACCACUCUUUAUUACUUUCAUUCUCCUCUCAACUCACAACUCACGCUAAUUGCAUCCCUUGUCGUUUCGUAUAAUCGCAAACUAGUUAAAAUAGCCAAGCAUUUCAACUUUCAAUUCAUUGAGUCAGACACACUUUAGCCAAAACAAGAUAAACGAAUAAAGCAUCCAACCAUCCUUCAUAUUUUACAACAUCCCAAACUACUUUCUUCUAAUCCUCUUACAACACCCUAAUCACUAACCCCUUCAAAACCCAACCUCCUUUGCUCCAUUUCCUUAUAAGGAAAACCCAUCCUUAACAACAUUUUUUUUCAUCAAUUUCAAAUUAAGACGAAAAAGGGUUUGGGUGGGAAGUUAGAGGCAUUGGUGAAGUGGUAGAUGGACUUCAUCAUGUGAUGCUCCAAAAACAGCCAAAACGGACGGAUAGACGUCUGAUGGGACCUUCUGACACACGCACACAGAGAGUACUCAAUCUCUUUGUCGUGUCGUGUAUGGGUGUUUCACAUUUUUUUUUAUUUUCAUUUUAAUUAAAUAUGUCAACAUAUUAUUGUUUUUCACUUCAUUUAACAUGUAUUACGCUGCAGAUUUGCAUUUUUAUUUUUCAAACGAAUCAUCAUUGCAUGAUAAUAACCAUUAGAGUGUAUAUAUUGUUUAUUUCUUAAAUAAAAAUGAUGGUUUGAUUGGUAUGCUCAGCGUUGCUGUUGUUUACUGAUAUAAUAUAUAUAUAUAUAUAUUUUUUGUUGUGUCAGCUGGCGGGAAACCGCAGAUAGAACAAGACAGAAUGAGAAACAAUAAACUUUUUAUGUGUACUGUGUUGUGUCACCUACCACAACCAUGAACCAAACCAAACCAACAACACAUGCACCACUCUCUCUCUCCGUUGAGUGAUGGCACAAGCCCUUUCUCCCCGUUGAGGUAGAAUGAUGAAGAAAAUAAGAACGGGACGGAAAAGUUGUGCUGUGCCCGUUGAGGUAGCUCCAGGGUGAGAGUGAGAGAGAGAGAAAGAGGGAAUUGCGGGGAAAAGGGAAGUGGAUAGUGACAAGACAAGAAAAAGAAUGGGACGACCGUGAUUUGCAUUUCUAUAUUCUCUUGCAGCUUUUCUCUCUCUCUCUCUCUCUCUUACACAGUACGUACUAAUAACACAAACACACACACUCACACACAUUCAUACACACACAUACGUAUACACUGAAAACUGUGGCCCCCAUACUUGAACAGAACCCCCAGCUUGCUUGUCGCACCACCAUCACCUCCAUCCAUUCAUUCACCAACAAUUCACCUUUUUCUUCGCUUUUUCUCUGCCGUUUCUACUGUUUCUUUCUAUGCUUGCAUAUCAAGUGUAAUCACCUUGCAUUUUUUAAUUCCUAAUAUAUAUAAAUGAGUGUUUGAAAGUCAGAUAUGAUUCUUCUUCCAGUGAGCUUGGCUCACUACGCAAACACACAGUCCUGAACACACAUGUUCUUUCCUUUUCCCCUCUGCAUCUUUUUCACGAAUUUGGGUUUUCUAUCCUAUACAUAUGUCCGCAAGCAAACCAGAAAAAACACUCCUCAGAAGUUAAGAAUCAUCAUGCACAUCACUCCCAUCUCAUCUCGUCUCGUCAUUGCACACCCAUCAUUAGGACCACUUCUUUUAUUUUAUGUCUCUAAUUCACAGAAACAAAGACUAAUCUAAUCAUCUUAAUCUUUUGCUUUCACCCACCAUCUACUCUUAAUCUCGCAUCACCUCAGGCUAACAAAAAAUAUACACUUGAUUCUUCCAUUAACUCCAACAAGGCUAAGCAUCGUCAUUCUAUUUUAUAAGGAUUUCAGUUCAGAUUGCCAAUGUAAAGACUUUGUUAAUAGUGAUUUCAAAACCACUUUUAUAUCAAGUAUGUUUUAACCCUAAUUAAUAAACACUAAAACAACAUUGCUUUAUAAUUCUAUCUUUUAACUAAGUAAUCUAUUAUCUAAAUUUCAACAAUGUUAUUUUAAGUAUGGAAAAAAUCCUGAAAAUAUAAUAUAUAAGUUUGUGCACUGAUGGCCCUUAAUUGCAUUAAAAAACUGCAAACAUCAUUAAAUGAACCACUAAAUUCUAAUACUAUCAGGCUAAAUUUUUCUAGUAAAAAGAGUUGGUUCUAUUAACUAUUCUCUCCUAAGUUCAAAUUCUAAUGUAUGCAAUUUAUCAUAAUUUUUAGAAUUUAUUACAUAAAUAUCCCUUCAGAUUUACCUUAAUUACACAUGCAUCCUUUUAUUUUCAGAAACAUACCAAUGACACUCCUCCCCUGACGAAGUUAAUGGUAUAACGAUCUUAAAAUUAAAAUUAAAUAUAUUUUGAGUUCAUUAUUGUGAAAGUCCUAAAUUGUUCUUCAAUUAAGUUAGAUAGAAAGUUGUGGAUCCCUCAUUUUGUAAAGUCUCUAGUUUGGAUUUUGAUUUUUCUCUCUCAACUUCAUUUACCUUUGAAUGUUUCUCAUGGAUUUAAGUCUGCAAUUUUACACAGAUUUGGGUUUGAACACCUAGUGUUCAUUAUAUACAAAAAAAAAUUAAAAUGUUGAUAAAAAGAAAACACCGAUUAAUAAGGGAAUUGAUGUUUGUGUUUUUCGUUUUCUAUUCUUUUGUAUAUAAGAGUUGAAACAUAACUAAAAUGUUUAAUUUAAUUUAAUUUAUUCUUGUUUGAUAAAAAAAAUAACUGAUUUAUUAGUUUAUUUAAGAAUUGAUGUAGUAGGACAAAUUAUAUUGGUUUCUUAGGUGUAGUAUAUGUGUUUUUAGGUUAGUUUACAACUAUAUGUUCUCUUCAGUUUCCUUCUUUGUGUUGUAUUUUUUUGUCAUCCUUUAUAAAUUCUUUUUUUUUUACACUUCAAGUCUUUAUAAAAAAAUGUACAUUAAUAUAUUUAGGUAUUACAUAUGUUUAUAAAACUGUGAUUUUUUAUGUUAGAAAUAUAUAUUACAUAGAAAUGUAUAUAUUGUAAAAUAGACUAUACAAAUAUAUAUUUAUUUGUUGAUACAAACUAUUUGUUUCUGUAUCUAGAUAAUAAUAAAUAUAUUUUUUCAGUUGACUUAGAGAUUUGCUUAUUGUAAUUGAAAGAUACUCUUUUUUUCUGAUUUUUUGGGAUUAUGCAAAAAAAAAUUAUAAUCUGAAUAAAGAUUGUAACUAGUACCUGUGCAACACACAAACUUUUACAAAAGUCUUAAUUUUAAAUUAUAAUAUUAUAAAAAUAUAAUUUUUUGGAUAUUAUAUUAAAUCUGGUAUUACAAAAUACAAAUAUAAGUCCUUCAAUUAUUAAGAAUAUAAGAUAGUUAGAAGAAAUAAAAAUUUUAUGUAAAAAGGAUAAUUGAAAUUAAUAAAUAUGAAAUUGACAAAAUUUUAAAAAAUGAGAUGAGACAUGGUAAAUAUUAAUAUUUUUGGGUUAAUUAUCUUAUUUUUAAUGUCAAUCACGUGAAAAUACGAAGUCAACACAAUCUUAAUAAGACAUCAAGUUACAACAGACAAAAUAUAAACUUAUAUGAGAGAAUGAAAAUGAGAUAACGUAUGUUUGUUUGAGUUAGGAGUGAUAAUACGGGUUAGUCGCAUUGGUCUAUCUCGCAUUUAACCCACAAAAUAUGGAUCGGGUUGAUCCAUUUCACAAAAGUGACACAAACUGAAUUUGUUGGUCUAUACUGUAUAAGAAUUUUAUUUAUUUCAAUUUUUUAUUACAUAGUACAUUAAACAAUUUAAUAUUUAUACUUAUUUAAGAUUUUGAAUAAUUUAGAAAUUUUAUGUAUUUUAACUUUUUAUUGAAAUAGUUCAUUAAAUAAUUUAGAAUUUUUCUUUAGAGUUGAUGGUUGAAGUAUUUUGAAAUGUUUAAUAUUUAUUUAUUAAUUACUAAUAAAAAAAAUAUUUAUUUGUUGCCUUCUUUUAAAGUGGUACAAUAUUAGAAUAAAGUGUUCAUUUUCUUAAAUGGCUUGAUUUUUUAAAGAAAAGUGGACAUACAAGAACAAAUUUCUUAAAGCCUUACUAGAGUAAAUUGCUCUAAGAUUUUCCAAAAGAAACUUAUUUGACAAUACCGUAAUACAAAAAGGAGAGGUAGCAACAAUUAAUGCGCAGAUAACGACCAUAUUCUGCAAGAGAUUUUAAUAAACUAAAGACAAUAAAAAUUAUGAAAUAUGACAAAAUCAGCCUCGUGUCCUUCUUUCAUAAUUCGAUCUACAUGUUUUGUACCAUUCACUAUUAUGGUAGGCAUUAUAGAUAUAAACAUGAGACAUAUGUUGGAAAUCCUAAAUAUACUAUGAAUAAAACCAAGCCAAAUUGUAAUAUAUUUAAAAACAUAUUUAAAAACUACAGGUCUUAAUAUUAAAAAAAAUAAACAAGAGUUUAAUAUAUGAUUAUUCAUUUGUAAUAAAGAUAUAUAUUUUUUUUUUAAGAAGUGAAGUUUAAAUAUAACUCAAUCUUAUAAAAAUUAGUUUGUAAGUUGAAAUUUGUAGUUAUUUAUAUUUUAUAAAUUAAUUUUAUCUUAUCUCUAUUUAAUAUGAGAUUUUCACAUCAUUCUCACAUUGAAACUGUUAACUCAUUCAUGAGACUAGAUAUUUAUGAGUAGUCCAGUAUUUAGUAGUGAAUAAUACCAUAUAUUUAAUAAACUCUCGUUAUAAUAAACUUUAAAUAAAUCUAAUAUAAAUUUAGAAGUGAAUUUUAAACAUAAUUUAACUUAUGUUGAAUUGUGUAAAAUAAAAUUUACACUAAUUUAUAUAGUAUAAAUUGUUCUUAUCUCUCCAACAACUUUAUUUUAUUUCUUUUUCUUUUUUAGAGAUACUUUUAUUAGGUAUUAUUAUUUGAUUCCAUCUCACAUGUCUAUUUUUGUGUGAUAUUAUUGUAAAAAAUGUAUAAAAUUGAUUUCAUGUGUUGUUUUAUUUUGAAGAAAUUGUAAAGAAAAGAAUGGUGCUAUAUUUGGGGUGACAGGGUGAAAUGGUUGCUCCACUUGCAUCCAGCUUGCACCAAAAUGGAAGAUACCCAGUGACUCUUCACCUGUUCUUGCGUGUCCUCACCCAUCCCUCAAUGCAUCAUGACCACCAUGUGUCAAUUUAUGACAAUCGCAUCAUCAUGUCCCUAAAUUCUUAAAUAUAUGCUUAUCUAGAUUCCAUUUCCUUUUAUUUUUUCCCCACAUUUUCUUAUAUUUCUACCAAUAUACCAUGCUGACAUCCUUUUGAUUUUCCAUAAAUAACGAAUUACAAAAAAUAGGAACACUAAAACUAUAAUUAAAUCUUAUAUUUAUGACUCAAUUUUGGUUUAGGUUUUGAAUUAAGUGAAAAAAAAUGUACCAAAUAGAUUAGUUUUUAGACUGUGUUGGCCGAAUUCAAACCCAAUCAACAAACAUUCGGUUGAUUGAAUUUAAUUUAAUUCAUUGAGCUUAAAAACACUAUUGUUUCUGACAUUUUUUUAAUUUCUAUUGGUAUGCUAUUUUUCAUUCUAGUCCUUUUUUCUAUUGGUAUUCCAAUUUAAUUCAAUUUAAUAUUCUUUGUUAAAGUGGAGUAGAAAAGCAAUAAGAAAAAAAAGGUUAAAAGGUCAAAACAAAAAGCAAAUAUCGUGUCCCUUAAGACAUCAGUAUAUAUAUAUAUAUAUAUAUAUAUAUAUAUAUAUAUAUAUAUAUAUAUUAACUCAGUGAGAUUGCAGUCCACUAUUUCACCAUGUUAUUCUUAAUUAAAUCUAUUUACUUAAAUUUUACUCAAUUAUUUUAAUCUUAGUCUUUAGUUCAAAUUUAGGAGAAACUGAAGUUUGUUUAGUAGUAUUAGUAUUUUCUAAACUAGUUAUUACUUUAUGAUUAAAUUACACUUCUAAUCUUGUAAUUUUGGACCACUCUCUUUUUAAUACAAUUUUUAAAACUUAUAACCGGGAAUGGCUUAAAACCUAAAAUUUAAUUUGUUUAAGAUUUGGCCUAUAACAUUUCUAAGGUUCUUUAAGUAAUCAGUUUAUGGUUGGGUAUCUCUCAAAUGCCAUCAGUUUAUGUUUGUAUUUUUUAUUUGUAAACUAAAUCACUAUCUUCACCACCAUUGCAAUAAAAUCAUUACAACAAUUAAUUUAAAAAGAUAAUAAUAAUUAAGUUUAAUACUUUCUAUAAAUUAAAAAAGUUAAUGUUAUUUAAAAUAAUUUUUAUUAUAAAUACAAAUUAAUAAAAUAAUUUAUAAAUUUAUAUAUGAAAUUAUUUAUAAAUAUUUUAAUUAUUAAUUACUUUAGAUUCUAAAUUAGUCUUGUGAUUAAUUUAAAAAUUAAAAUACUUAGUAACUAAAAUCUUGUUAAUUAAUAUUAGAUAACAAUUUAAAAAUUAUUUUAUAAAAUUUUAUUAAUGAUAUAAACUAUUUUAGAUACUAAUAAUUUUUUAAUUUUAAAAAAUAAUAUUUAAUUUAAUAAAUAAUAUUUAAUUAAGAAAUAUUAAUUAUUUUUUGUUUUUAAAAUGUAGUGAAAUUAGAUCUGUGUUUUUUCAUUAGAAGUCUAACUUUUUUAUAUGGUAAAAAACUAAUAAAUUCUAUCAUUAUUAAUGGUGAAAAAUCUAUUUUGUCGGAUAAUAAAAAUGAAGGGAUAUACUUUUUAAUAAAAAAAUAACGGAAACAAAUUAUUUAAAUCAAAACUCUAUUUUAUAUUUAUAAAACUAAUGUGAUCAUUAAAAAUUAAAAUGAAAUAGAAAACAGUUUUUUUAGUUUAACAUAGUAUGUCACAAAUUUAAUUUUAAUUUAAAUAUCAAUGGGAAUUAAUCAAAUUUAAGAUAUAAUAUUUGAAAUGUAUGAAAAAUAUAAUUAAAAAUUAAAUGAAAUACUCUAACUCACUUAAUCUGCCUACUUAAUCCAUUAAUAUUGUCAUACAUGUUCAAAUCAAUUUAUAGUUUUAUAAAUUUAGAAAAGAUAAAUUUAUAUACAUAAUACAAAAAAUAAGUAAUAGAAAAUUAUUAGAUAGAAAUCAAUUUUGGAGACUAAAAAUAAUUAUUUAUUAUAUUGACUAAAUUAUAUACUAUUUUAGAGAAAAAAAAUUAUUUGUUUCUAAAUUACUUUCUAUUAUUGAUAAAUAGUUUCUAAAUCGGUAUCAAAUUAGCUACCAAUAUUUUAACUACCACAAGUUUUAAUUACCAAUUAUUUAAAUUCUAAACUUUGUAGCAAAAAAAUUUGUGACUAAUUAGAUAUCAAUUUAAAAACUAUUUAUUAAUAAUAGAAACUAAUUUAGAAAUUAAUAACUUUUUAGUCUCUAAAAUAAUAUCUAAUUUAGACAAUAUAUCAAUUAAUUAUUUUUUAUCUAUAAAAUUAGUUUUUAUUUAAAAGAUUUACUAGUAGUGAUGGAAAUGAGUUGAAAAUUUUAAUAUGUGUAUAUAUAAUUUUAGGUGAUCUUUAACAAUUUAACUUGUGAAUCCAUUUAAAAAAAAAAAAAAACUUGUGAAUCCAUUUCUAAAAGUGAUGAGUUACAUUUUUCAUCCUAUAUUUACAUGCUGUUAACCUAAUCCUGCUUGACACGAAUUUAGAGCAUGUUAACUCUAAUCGAUUUUCUUUGUAUUUGAUAAUUUAUUUAUAUAUUUGACUAAAAUAUAUUCCAAUCAAAAUUUCGAGAAUGAAUAAAAAAUUAUUCUUUUAAUUAAUUUCUUAAUGUGAUUAUUUUAAAUUGAUUCCUUUAAAAUUUUUGAAAAAAAGCUAACAAUAUUAGGACUUAGUUGAAUGUAUUUUAUUUUUUAGACUAUUUUGUCAAACAAUUUUACACUACAUCUUUGAAAAGAAAAGAAAAAUUGCUUGACUAAAAAUAGACUUUUAUUUUUGUUCAACUAACUCGUACCACUACCCCACUUCAUAAAAUAAUUGCAUAUAAUUAUUUUAAAACCAUGUGAUUAUUUACCCAACUCAUCCCCAGACACGAAGAGAAAUAACCGGGAAAAAGUGUAAAAGGGAUUUAUUUGUGGUAACUGCCACUUUCAAAUGUUAUUAGAUUCUGAAAACGAUUUCAGAAAAUCAAAUAAAAUAAAUAAAUAAAAGCUAACACCACCAAAUGCAAUAAACCAAGAGAUUUUUUUUUUUAAGUAUUAUUAAUAUAGUCCCACAUCAAUUAAGAAUUGAAGUAAAAAACAAUUUAUAUAUACUUUUUACUCAUGUCAAAUACCUUUUAAAAACAUGAACAAAAUUUUCAUAGGUCUUAUUAGAAAAAAAAGAGACACACGUAUAUAUUUUGAAUGGUGUAAUGUUUGAUGUAUUAUAUAGGAAUAUUGAAGUAAUGGGCCCUGAAAUGAUAGCAAGUUUAGACAUAGAAUAGGGAGGCUAAAACUGGAGACAUAUAUAAUAUAAUGGCCUACAAAGUUAAGGUUGAUAGAGCACACCGACAUCACUCACCACGAACUUGUUACAAAUUUCGUAGGGAAGCAAAGUACCGAAUCAUUUGGAGGAAGAAGUUUGAGAAGAAAAGCAAUGAUUUAAUGGAACAGUGGAAUUGCAUACUUUUGGGUAUCACAAUGCCAAAAUAAACUGGUUUAAAUGGUUGUGCCCACUGUUCUGUACGAUAAAACACUAUCACACUGUUCCACUUCAAAUCAGAUACUAUCCCAUACAUGCUACAGAGCUACACUUAUAUUUCCUUCGUUACUUGGGAAUUUAAUUUACAGUCAACGGAGGAUGAUUUUGAGUUGAAGUUAUGAAGAGCAUGCAAAAAGGAAUAGUACUAUUCUGGACAACAAGUAGUAGGGGUGCUAAAAUAAUUUUUACACCAUUAACUUAAACCCAUUCCAAAGCAACGUCAGAGGUAAUGAUUCAUAGACCCAUUUCAUGAAUUGAGUUUGUUUUUAUCCACUAAUAUUGUUGAAUAGUAAGUAGGAGGUGAAGCUAAAUUUUGUUUGAAUUAUGUUUUUGGGCAGUUGAGAAUGAGCUUAAAUGGUUACUUUGCAUGCUUUUCCUAAAAUAAUUGCUUUGCUUUGGUUCCACUUUUUGCUUGCAGCUUUAAUUUCACCUAAAGAUGGAACUGUAAUAAAGCGUAAUCUUACGAAAUGACAUUCCCGCGUGCAAAUCAAAUAUAUAAGUGGGUCAUCUACACUUGCUUUAUGCACAGUUAACUUGAUUCCUAGAUUAAGACAUUCACUGUUUAUACUUAUAUCACAUUUCAUAACUCCCAUUCAAAAAGUAAACAACAUCAUUUACACAGCACUUCAUUCACUUAAACCAUAAAUUCUUUUAAGACAUUACUCACUAUCAACUUUCCUUUCAUGCUUUACAUCUGUUAUAAACUACAUGUUAGAAAUUUCAUGUUUCUCAUCUCUUAAUCUUUUAUAUAGAUUUUAUAGCAUCAUGAGUUCGAUAAUACAUAUAAUUAGGUCAUCUACCUAUAUUCAUAUCAGACAAUAAUGUAUUAGCACAAAUCAAAAGAUCUUGAGUAAAUGGUAAUAUCAAAACCCAAAACAAAAGAAAUAUGAUGAAUGUAUAUAUAUAACAGAGAAUACACUAAAGAAAAAACACAUCACUUACUAAUCGAGAUUGAGAGUCCAUUCACUCUUAACAACACUAAAUAUUUUAGGUUUGAGAUCGCCGAUACUCUUAUCUGAAACAGUUUUAUUUAUAAUUUUUAAAUAGCCUUCGAGAAGUAUGAUUUAACUUAAUUAUUGACUUUAACGAAGGUGUCUCCAUUGUGGUGAAUCCUAUACACUUUUCUUCUUUCAUUUCUGCCUUUAGUAUGAUAAGAAAAUGAGUUUGGGGUUGAAUUAAAAAUGGAAGAAAGCAUGGAUUACGGGCCUGUGAAUUAAUCUAAGGCCAUAGUAGAUUGUGGUCCACCUGAGGUAUAGGCCAGGACCCAAUUUCUUGAGAUAAUAAAUUUGUAUUAAGCUUGAAAGACACAUCACCACCAAGCCCUAAACACCGGCCUAUAGAUACAUGUGUUUUUUCCACUGAGAGAGAGAAGCACUUCAAUUUUCAAACACCACCAACAUUUAUUUAGGUAAGAAAAUUGAUUAGAGGAUUAAACCGGGCGUGUAGGAGGGGAAACAAAGGAAAAAGAAACAAGUAAUGAUUAGUGAGUGCCCCACUAGGGAAAUUUUGAAGGAUUCACUCUUAAUUAAACGUCUUUUUCACAUUGAGAACUAAUUAUAUUUAUACAUAGUUGUAGAAAAUUAAGAAAAAUAUUGUUUUACUUUCAACUUUGCCUCUCUGUUCUCCAUUAUUUACAUGUGAGAAGAAGAUAGCUGUAUACCAUUGGAAUUUGGACGAGGAAAGACUUGAAUGAAUGUAUAAAUUCUUGUACUAAUUGGAAUCGAACAAAUUAUGGUUAGUAUUUGAUGAGUCAUGUUAAUUGAUUUUAGUAAUCGAUCGACUGAAUGAAUCUUCAUUCAAAGUAGUUACGAUAAACAGUUUAAGACAGUUGUAAGAAUUUUUUAAGAAUUUAGAAUACAUUCUACCAAAUUCAGAUAACACUCCUGUAAAUCAAGAACUUUUCUAAAAAAUGAGCUAAUGCUAAAAUAUGAUAAAUUUGACUCAUUACAACAAACUACAAAUGUGUAAGGUACGAUUUUAAUACCUUCUUAAUUUAUAUUUCGUAUACUAAGUACUUACUUGAUUGUUUGAAUAUUUUUUUCAGAUCAAUAUACAAGACUUAGAAUAAAAAAUAAGAAAACAACCUAACAACCAACUCGUUAACAAUUCAACAACCAAUUUCAGAUAUUAUUUAAAUUUAUUUUAUCUAUACAAUUCUUAAUAGCUAUAUCUAACUUUUUUUUUUUUUUGGAUCUCUUGACCUUGAUCAACAAGUUUUACAACCUUUGGAAUCAUCGAGACCUAGAUUGAAAACAAAAACAAUGAAUAGGACGAUGAAGAUUAUGUCAUCUCCUUCGAAAUACCAAAAACAUUUUCUGAGACUAUAGCGUUCGAGUGAGUGUAGUUUAUUUGGAAUAAUUUUUCUUAAAAUUGGGUUAGACAAGUCAAUUUGAAAUUGAACUAUAACUUUUCUAGCUCAAUUUAUCCCUUACCAGAUUAAGGGUCAAAAAAACCCUGCAUAUGGAUCAAUAAUAUUUUUACAGCCUACACAGAAUGGAUCCAUCAUUUCUUACACUAUAAAAAAUAAAUAUUAUUAAUAUAAAUUACCUUUUAUAUGAUAAGAUAAUAAAAUAAUUUCACUUAAUUAAGUUUUAAGUUAUUAUAAAUUUAGACAUCUUUAAUUAAUUUUUAAUUACAAAUUUUCGUUCUAUUGAAUAUUAAAAGUAUUUUUUUGUUUUUAUUUAAAUAUUUUUUCAUUUAAUUAUGUUGCCAACUAGAUAAUAUAACGGUUACUUCCGUCUUCUCGUUUCUAAAAAUAAAUAAGUGAUUGCGUGACGACAAAAAUUAAGAAAUAAGAUACUUAGACAAAAAAUGAAAAAAAUAUUUUAAACACUUAAUUAAUAUAUAUAUAUAUAUAUUAAAUUAAAAUACUUAAAUUUAUAAGAUACUGAAAAUUUAAUUAAAUAUAUAUUUUUAAUGUUGUGCAGAGGUGUCUAUUCUUUUAUUUUUUUUUCAAUAAUAAUAUAAAUAAUCGCCAAAAUAUUUAUCAGACAUUAAAUAAUGAUUAAUGUAUUAAUGGUGGUACUUGUAUAUAGUAAAAGAUCUAUUUUAUUAGUGAGAACUUAAAUCAUCUUUAAAAUUAUUUUUUCAAUUCUGCUUUAAUCUUUCAAUAACUUUUACCUAUUAUCGCUAAAAAAAUUUAAAAAAUGAAAAGAUUUAACAAAAGAUUAAAUAUUAUCUUAUGAAAUAAAUUUUAUAAAAUUUAGUUAAAUUUAAUUUUUUUAAUAUGAUAUAAAGUUAUUAUAUAGUAGUGUUUGCUGGAAGUUGAAACUUGUGUCAUCCAUUACUAAAUUCUCCUAAUUUAAUGUGAGAUGUCCAAUACUAAAUGUAAAAGUGUAUUGAUCUAUUAUAUUUAUUUUAUAGAAUAACUCCAAUAAAUUGAUUGAACCUCAAAAUAUUAUGUACAACUAUUUAUUUAUUUCUCAUAAUAUUUAAUAUUAAUGAAUAACUCAAUACCCAUUGUGACACCAUCCUAUGAAUCGUGUGAAUGAAACCCAGCAGAGUUUCAAGAUUAUUGCCAUCUGCAACAAAGAAGAAACAAAUCAAAUCUCAAAAUUCAAUGAAAUUGUACGCUUAACCAAUACUAAUUAAAUGGUAACAAUGAACAAAAUUACUAAUUAAAGUAUGAGAUACCACUAAUCAAGUUUUGAAUUCGUAUGAACUUCACGGUGGUAAAUCACUACAUGAUCCUGAAAUGCUUCCAACAAUGAAACUUUGAUGAAGAUCGAGUGAUGAUUUAUUUAUAUGAGAUUUUCUAAAUCUCAAAUAAGAGUUUAAAGAGAUAUGAGAGGGAUUAAAUGAGUACAAAUGUAUUGAGUUGAAUUGAGUAAUUUCUGAAAUUAUAUUUAUAAGUUUUUGGUGUUGUUAAAAUAUAAAAUAUUUAAUUAAUUUAUAUAUGUUGUCGAAUAUCAAGUCAAUUUCAACAUAGAAGUUAGUUUUUAAAGGUGUCCUAUUUAUUCAGACAUGGAGGUACUUAAUGUCUAUUAUUGCAAGUGAAUAUUAUAUUCUUAGUAUUUUUUUAUACUGGAUAUCUCUAAUAUGGAUAUUAUAUUCUUAUUAUUUUUUAAUUUUGGAUAGUACACAUAUUUUACUUUAAUAAAAAAUAUCAUAACAUCUAAGUUAAAAUAACUCCACAAAAUUUAACAAAAUCAUAUAUCGAUAAAUGAAAAAAUGUAUAAAAAAAAUAAAAAAAUAUGAGAGAAACCAAACUCAUAUAAAAGAAACAAACAAUAAUCCAAAAUAAAAGACUAUACAAAUUUAAAGUCUAAGCUCGUGUUUGGAUUGGGGGGUGGCACUGUAGUCACAGACGAAAGUGGGGUGUCACCCCGUUUGGAUCUGUUGAUGGUGGAGGGUGUGGGUGAGGGUGAGGGGAAAGUUGGGCCGAAUGAGAGAGCAUUCAGAAGUGAAGAGAAAGGAGAGGGAGAGGGAGUGAGUGUCAAGUAGGAUGAGUGCAAUGUCAUUUGUGCCUUCACUAGAUUUUUUGACGUAUUUGGACAUUGGACAUGAAGCAUGCAUGCGCAUAACACUGUGAAGAGAAGCUUUUCAGCAAGCACAGGAGAUUCCUGACCAUUGUUCAGGAUUCUCUUUGACCAACUUCAAAGCUCAAUGAAUGCAUAGCCAAGUUGGUGAGAGAGUGGAUGAGCGUAAUAAAGAGGUGCAGCAGUAUAUAUGUGGUUCCCAACCUCACAAACCUCACACAGUUGAGGCAAUUCAGUUCUUCACAAAGCACAUACCUAGAGAGCUUGGAGAUGGUCAUGAGUAAGCAUAGUGAUAGGAGAUUGCACUUGGUUCUUUGUUUGUGACCUCAGGUGAGCUGUGUGUGAGUUUAUUUUCAUUAUUAACUGAUUAUCACUGAAAAUGAACGUAUGCCAUAAUCGAUUAUGUGAAAAAAAAAGAGUUGAUAAUUGAUGAAUAUAUAUUUAUUCACACACAAUAGCCUUAAUCAUAGAUUAUUGGACUAUAAUAAUAAAUAAAUUCAUUGUUUUAAUUAAUAUUCAUAUAAUUGGUAAUUAAUAUUAUCUUUGGUAAUUUUGUGUUUUUAGGGUAAAUUAUCUGAAGCAUCUACCUUUGUGAAUGAGCCAAACAUGCAAAAGUCCAAGUUGCUUAUUUGAAUAAAAACAAAAAAACAAAUUCUGAGGAGAAGAAAGAGAAAAUAAAAGCUACAAGAUUCCAGAAACAGAAUUGGAAGCAAAUCUUCUGUAAAAUAAAAAGAAUUAUGGAAAGUGGAAACUGUUUAGAAAAUCUUAAGUGCAAUAUUUUCCCAAGAUCCUUGGAGCAGAAAAGUCUAUAAAAGGACACAAGCAUGAAGGAGAAAGGGAGAGAGCUUCAUAGGGUUUUCUUAGUUUCUUUUCUUCUUUGUAAUUCUUUUGUUUUGCCUCCGCAUGGAAGGUUAAACCUUUUUGGUUGAUUCUUUUGUAAUUCCCCAUUAAGUUCUGAGGUUUUUAUUCAAUAAAAGUUUCAUUUUUCAAUUUUUUAUAACAAUUGUUUUUAUUGUCUAAUCUUCUGGAAAACUAGUUUUUGUGAGAGGUUGUACUUGAACGCAUGAUUGAGAGUCUUCCUUAUCUUAAACUUUGGUUUCUUAGUUAGUUCUCAUUGUUCUAAUUAAUUUCUUGGCGCAUGAUUCAAGAGAGAGGAUAUAAGCAUUCCUAUGGAGUAUACGCAUGGAACAAAAUGUCUAUUGAUUAAACCAGUAGACGCAUGCUUUACUGGUGAGUUUCAGUUGAAUCAGAUCGGCGCAUGUUCAAUCUGGUUUAGCUCUGUUGGAGGAUUGAAAAAAUAUUAAUCUUUAGAGAACCUGUGAAGAAUUCAAUGGUGGAAGAACUUGGGAUCAACCACUUUUUUAUUUUCUAUUUCAAUCUUUUUUAUAUUUUUCUUGUAGAUAGAUUUUGAAUUCGGUUAACUGAAUCACUAUUGGAUUCGUUGGGAGACAACUUAGGGUCAUCUCUCUGGUGUUAGACAACUCUACGCUAGAUUCAUAUUAAUUUGACAGCAAAACGACAACUAUAAAUAAUCGAGCAUAAACAUUUGGAUAAUCGAUUAUGAUUUUAAUUUCCCAGAUUUUUUAUUUUCUGUUUUUUGAAGUAAUUUUUGCAUGAUUUUUUUGGAUUGUGUUUUUUUUUUAAAUUGUGUUUGGAUGUUUAGUUUUAUUUUGAAUUUAAUUUGUUUAAAUUAUUUUAAAGUACUUGUUAAUUAGUUUUUGUUAAUUAGUUUUUAAUUUUAGAUGUGAAUGUUUAGGAAAAUUGAUUAUCUAAGAUUUAUAUUGUUAAUGUAAAAAUUUCAUGAAAUUUAAAUAUAGAAUUUUUGUAACAUGAAUUGAAUUGAAUUUAUAGAUUGAAAUUAGAGAUCUAAAUCUGUUAUUUUAAAAUAUUGUUAUUAAAAAAAUUAUAAAAAUUGUUACAGUAAUUUAAAACAGAAAAAUCAAAUAUACAGAAGAUUUUUUUAACAUUGUUAAAUAAAUUUAUGAAUGUAUACAUAGUAAUUUUUUUUUUAACUUUGAAGCUGUUAAUAAAAUAAUUUUUUUGAUUUAAACUUACAGAAUAGACUAUUUUUUAGAAAUUAUUAUUUUUACAGAAUGUAAAUAUAAUUUUUAAAACAAAUAUUGUAUUAAUUAAAAAAACAGAAAAAGAUUACAUAAUAAAUUAGAAUUUUUAAUAAUAUGUGUACAUAGUUACUAUUUUUUGAACAUUUAAUUCUUUAUAAAAAAAUAUAUUUAUUUAUUUGAAAUGAUUAUUUUUACUUAAUGGAAAUAAAAAUUUUGAAUGCUAUAUUUUAUAAUUUUGGACAUUUUACAUACACAUAUCAUAAAAUACAUAUAAUUUAUUUGUCAUAGUUUACAUAAAUUGUUAAUGUUAUUAUAAAAAAAUUAAAAUAAAUAUUGUAGUAAUUAAAAAGAACAGAAAAAGAUUACAUAAUAAAUUCAAUUUUUUAAUAAUAUAUGCAGAUAUUUAAUAUUUUUUAACAUUUAAUACUUUAUAAAAAAACAUUUAUUUAUUUGAAAUUAUUAUUUUUACAGAAUGUAAAUAUAAAUUUUUAAUGUUAUUUUUUAAAACAAAUAUUGUAUUAAUUAAAAAACAGAAAAAGAUUACAUAAUAAAUUAGAAUUUUUAAUAAUAUGUGUACAUAGUUAUUAUUUUUUGAACAUUUAAUUCUUUAUAAAGAAAUAUAUUUAUUUAUUUGAAAUGAUUAUUUUUACAUAAUGUAAAUAGAAAUUUUGAAUGCUAUAUUUUAUAUUUUUUUUGAUAUUUUACAUACAUUGUCAUAGUUUACAUAAAUGGUUAAUGUUAUUAUGAAAAAAUUAAAACAAAUAUUGUAGUAAUUAAAAAGAACAGAAAAAGAUUACAGAUUUUUUAAUAAAUUCGAUUUUUUAAUAAUAUGCGUAGAUAGUUAAUAUUUUUUUAACAUUUAAUGCUUCAUAAAAAAACAUUUAUUUUAUAAUUCAUUUUAAUUUUAUAUUAAUUUUUAAGUUAUAAUUGAAACUUACAAUUAUUUUAAUUAUCAAAAUUAUGUACAAAAUUAAUAAUUUUUUUUAUACAUAUGGAUAAAAGUAUACUUUAUUAUAUAUAACAUAAAGUAAUUGAAAUUAAAUAAUAUAAUAUUAAUUAUUUUAAUUAAUUUAAAUAUUCUUUAAACUAAUUAAUAUUUCAUUUUUCCCAUUUAUAUAUAUAGAAGAAUAAAUUUAUAAUCUUACCAUUUACACUAUUCAAAAUAUAUUAAAAUACUUUCACAACUAUCACAUCAUUCACACUUUUCAAUAAACUUUCUUUACACAUCCACUCUAACAUCCCUCAAUCCAAACAUCCUCAACUUUCAACUUUCUCCACACUUUUUUCAUAUUUUCACUCCCACACCCUCAACUUUCCACUCACGAGUUGAUAAGUGUUACAACAAAAUAUAAACUAAUGUAAAACACUAAACCAAAUAAAUAUAUUUUCAAUCCUAAUAUUCACAAUGUUAUGACCUUCACUUUUAUAUAUAUAUAUACUACAAGAAAAUCAUCAAAUAGAAACUAAUUUUUAGAGAUCAAAAUAAUUAGUUGAAAUAGUAACUAAAUUGGAGACCAUUUUAAAAACUAAAAAAAAUUGAUUUCUAAAUUAGUAACUAAUUAUUUUUUGUCUCUAAAAUUGGUUUUUAUUUCAUAAUUUUUUUAUAGUAAUAUAUAUAUAUAUAUAUAUAUAUAUAUAUAUAAUCACAAAUUUAUUUGAGUCAUCUAUCUUAAAGAACUUAAUAAAAAGUUUGAGGACUCAAAAAAUUUAACAAAUAAAAAGUAGAAUCACACUUCUACCCAAUACAAGAAAAUUAUUAAUUAAAAACUAGUUUAAGAUAAAAAAAUAAUUAGUGAUUAUAUUACUAAAAUAAAUAUUAUUUUAUAGACUAAAAAAUUAUUGAUAUCUAAAGUAGUUUUUAUUAUUAUAAAAAAUUAUAAAUUAAUUUUUAAAUUGGUAUCUAAUUAUUUAAUUAAUUUAAUUAGCUAACAUUUUUAGAACCUAAAAUAGUUGAUAACUAAUUAGAUACCAAUUUUAGAAUUUAAAGUAAUUGAUAGCUAAUUAGAUACUAAUUUAAAAUCUAGUUUAUAAAUUUUUAUUAAUAAUAAAAACUACUUUAAAUAUUAAUAAUAUUUUAAUCUAUAAAAUAAUAUUUAAUUUAAUCAAUAUAUAAUUAAUUAUUUUUAAUUAUAAAAUUAUUUUAUUUAAUAAUUAUACUGUAUUGACCAUAUACAUGUAAAUCUAAAGUGAAUAAAUAGAAUAGUAACUACAAACUCUGCAUAUGAAGAUUUAUUAAUAUUAAAAUAAAAAGUGGAACUUUUAAUAUAUUCUUCAUUGUUUCCUCUAAAAGUCACUAUAAUAUAAUCAAGACAAUCUCUAACAUUACCAUCACUAUUGACAAAUAAAUUAACUUAUUAGUAAUUAGUUCGUCAAUUUAAUAACUAUAUAUAGAAGAGAGAAAAGUAAAAUUUCAUUUAAGAGUGGAGUUGAUUGUAGAAAUUAAAUUACGUAUAAAGUUAAGGGAGGGAUAUCUAUUAUUUUUUAAUAUGAAUUGUAAUUUUAACUUGAGAUCUUCCUGUCUAGUUAAGUAAUUAAUAAGUAGAAAGCUUUAUUAAAAAAUAUAUUGAAGUUGUAUUAGAAAUUUUAGAAAAGUGGAUCCAAGUAAAUAACUUUCACUUUUAAAUUUUUUUACUAGGUAUUUUUCUGUAAUUUAUAUAUUUAAUCUCUUGCAAACGUAACAACUAUGAUUGAAUUGAAGUUUGAAAAACAUUUUUCUGAAUUUUAUGAUUAUAUGGUAAUGUCACAUUCGAGGAUUACAUAAAAUAACGUAACGUGCAACAUGAAACACGAUUGUUCUAACACAACUUUCAUCCAUUCAAUUUAUUUCUUAUAUAAAUAAUUUUAAAAUUAAAAUUAAUAAAAUUUCAUGGUUACCUAACAUUUGUCUAGUUUGUCUGAAAAAAAAUGUCCAACAAUAAAUUAAACUGGGCAAAAUAUAAUCUGUCCAUUGAAAUUCUUAAAAUAUUAAAUACAGAUUUUUGUAUUAUUUUGUCACUCUAAACUUUUGAACUUUAAAGAUAUAUAUUUUAGGUGUUUCAAAAAUUUAUACAUAUUGAUCUUUAAUGGUAAUAACACUAGAUGGAAAAAAAUUGUACAGAUGAUGGUCUUAAUAGUGUUGAUUAUUAUAUUUAAUAAAAAAAGUGUGAUAAAGUUGUCAUGUAUAUAAGUUUAUUUUUGUCGUUAGUACUAAUGAAAUCUAAAAGGUAUGUUUAAAUUUCAAAGGAAUCAAAAUAAUAUAAUUUUUUAUAAAAGUAUUUAGUGUAAUUAAAUUUUAAUAUCUCGAUUAGAGAUUAAGAUAUUUCAUUUUAUAGUAUAUAAGCGGGUGUAACUUCAUAAGCUGAUUUGGUUUAAACUUAAAGUUCACUUUUUAAUAUGAUAUAAGAUCCAUUUAAAGUCGAACUUAACUAGAGAUUUUGUUAGUCUUACCAAACCAUCUACUAUCGGAUCGUUAUUGGAUCAUAUAUAAAUAUAUAGUCUCAUACACAAACAGUCACUCUCCGCGUGAGAAAAUGUGUUAGAAAAUUCACAUAGAUUAAGUGCAAACAUUACCUUAUAAGUCGAUUUAAGUGCAAAAAUUACCUUGUAAGUCGAUUUUAUGAGUUAGAUUUGAAAUUAUUUUUCAAUAUUCAUAUAAAUUAUUUUUUUAAGAAUUAAUAUUAAACAAGCAGUAAAAAAAUAAUUAUUAUAAAAAUAUUAAAAAUAACCAUUUAUCUAAAAAUAUAUAAACUAAAAACACUCUUUUCGCAAGAAUAAAUAUGACAGACAAUGCCAUUAUUAGAAUUUAGAACACACAUGAAGGGGUUGGAGAAUAAUUUAUUAACGUCUGGAGCAGCAGCACCUAGAAGCAUUAAAUAUUCAUAAUUAUUUGUAGUAACAACUAUUUUUAAUUUUAUUGUUCUUUGAUUAUUAUUCCACUACAACAGAAUUGAUAACCGAUAACAGUUUUAAAACUUACUUAGCAACUGUUAAAACUAUGGUCAUAAAACUACAUAGUGAAUUUGUAGGCUAUGAUGAGUUUAUAUGUCUAUUUGUUGGUUGCGGCUCAACCCAACAUGUAAAUUCGUUUUUGAGCUAAACUCGAUUUGGUGAACUUGAUAUUAAGCACGUAAAAUAAAAUAAAAUAAAAAGCACCAUACUAUUAAAAUCACAAAUGAUAAUAGAAUGUUAAAAAAAAAUGUUAACUCUUAGUAAUUAACAAAUAGGUUGAGAAUCAUGUUGCCCCAACAGGAAGAAAAUGUUCUGUAGGAAGUGUAAGAGAAAAAAAAAAAUAAUGUAACAUGAAUACUUUUUUUGUGUUGUUAAAUUUAAAUGAAAAUCACAGGAACUUAUAUGUAAUCGAGAACUAUGUUUAAUCAAUUAUCUUUUUUAAACCUAUUAUUUGAUUACUUAUUUUUAAAAUUUAUCUCAAUUUAUUACAAGAAAAAUAUUAUAAUAAGUUAUUUAUAAAUAUUUUCAUCCAUAUAAUUUUGCACUUUAUAUGCAUAUAAAUGAUUUCAAGUUAACUAUUAAUAAUAAAUUAGUUGUAUUAUAAAUAAAAAACAUUAUAGUAUAUUUAUUUUCAAUUUAAUUUUUAUAAAUAAUUUAAUUCUUAUGUUUUUAAAAUAAAAUAGCUUUUUUUUUCAAAAAAAAAGGUUCUUAUACUGAUAAUCAUUUAAAUUAAAAUCUGUUUCUUGUUUGAUUCUUUUGAAAAUAUCAGUCAUGCCAAUGUGAUAAUAUCCAAAUUUUAUAUAAUUUUUCAGUUAUAUGUUUUUUUCUAGUUAUAAUUGUUUUGUAAGUUUUUUUUAUUUAUUUCAGAAACUAAUAAAAUUUAUUUUAAAUAAUAAAGAUUCUCACAUGAUAAAUAAAAACUUCAAAUAAAAUCUAAGGUCAUUGUUUAACAAAAUUUACAACCAGAGCAAAUCACAUUUCUUAUAUAAGGAAUGAAGUUAGUGUAAACAUUUCCAAAAAUGCUUAUGACCAGUUAAACAAAUUUUAAUUAUUUUUAAGAAAAUGAUUCCGAUAUUCAUGUUUUCCAAGAGUCUACAUAUGAGGUAGUGACAGAAUUGUCAUUCUACUACAUAUAAGCUCAUAAUGGACCUACUCUUUACAAAGCAGAAUUGAACAACUGCACAACAAAAAUAAAUCUUUUCCACUGCAUAGCAACUGCAAAACAUAUCAAUUGCAGAAUAAAUCAUAAUCAACUGCAUAACAAAAUAAAUCUUUCCAUAAUAUUGAAAUUUACUGUAUUUUUCACCUACUACUUCAAAUCUAAAAUCAUCAUCUACUGAAAUAUUUCAAAACAAGCUCCUGGAUUGUAAAACAACACCCACUAGUAAUCCACUGCCAAGAGUAGAGCUUAAAAUAUUUCAACCAUUUUCCACUUCCCUCCGAAUGUUGAAAACAUUUGAGAAUUUUGGGCCAACCCUAUUGACCACCAAACAAUAGAAAACUAUAUAACAUGCCACCUGAUUCUAUUAUCUGAAUCACAAUUAAGAAAUCCCAAACUUCUAUUGCUCCAUCAACUCAAGCACUAAACUCACCUGGAGAAGAAUUCACAUUCAAAAUACAAGUGAACUAGAGUUUUGACUUCCUUAUAAGGUACCUCUAGACAUGACUUCAAUGGUUGGAGUAAUACCUCUAUAUGCUUGUUCUUAAGGGAGAAAUCAAUCUUGAGCUAGCUUCCAAAUACAAGAUUGAACCUUGAGUAAGUGUCAUAGAACCUUAUCCAGCCUAAAUUUCGAUAAUAGAACCUUAUAUGCGAUUUAACCAAGUAAGUGUGUCUAUGUAAUAAAUAAAUCAUUUUCAUGAAAGUUGAAACUUUAUAAAAUGAACUCAAAUUUAAACCAUUCAUUGACGCUGGCUUCAUAUAUUGGAGCUUAUUGCGGAAAAUCCUUAUUACUAUAUGACUUUAGAGGAGUUUUACAGUGUAAUUACAAGAUAGAAUACUGACAUAAAGUCUCCAUAAGAUUCAAGUUUUGAUAUGACCAUCCUAAAUCAUCCUCUGAAUGUUGUCAGUAAAAUUAACCAUAGUUUCAAGACUGUUAUCAUCUGCAACAAUGAAGCACCAAAUUAAAAUCACAGAUUUUCAGAGUUGAGACACAUUAUAUGCACAAAACUAAUAUUCAAAUGCGUCCUGGCACCAGUCAUAGUUAGUUACAAUGAAAGAUCUACAAUUUAAAGUAGGAGACACCACUAACCAAGUUUGGGGACUGUAUGCCCUCUGGGGUGAUGAAUCACAACAGGAUUCUGGAAUGCUCCCAACAAAGCAACGCUCUCUUCCUUCAUGAAAUCUUUCUCCCCUUCACCACAUAAUAAGAAUAGAAGAUACAAUACAACUUUCAAAGUUAAAUGUAAAGGAAAAUUUGCUUAAGCAGAAUCACAUAUGAGGGACUUGAAAUUACCAAUAAUGUGAAGAGAUAAGCAAUCAAUUGGUUUUGAAAAUGCAUUAGAAGCCAAUUUAGGCAUUCCAAACUUGUUUCCACCAAACUUGGCACCAGAUAUCACAAUCAAAAACUUGAUCUUGUCUACCUUCCCAAGUGCUACACCCUAUAAAAGUCAUCAUUCCCUUUAGUGAAAUCAAAUGCAGUUUUAACUAAUUUAGCCUACUUAGAGCAUCUCUAAUGCCGCUGUUUACAAAAGUUGCUUAAAAUGAAUAGCAUUGCUCAACAAAAAUUGACAUAUAAGAAACAUAAACUAUUUUUAUUUUAAAAAAAUGUACAUUUUCAAGUUAACAAUCAUCGUCAAGACAAAGAAACAAAGCUAUACACCCAUUUAAAAACUUUAGCAUUAGAGUUAAAACUCAAGUAUUCAUUCUUUGACAAUUUAAGAAAUAAAACCGUAUAAGCAAACCAUGCUUCAUGCUUCGUAGAUACUCAUUGAAAACUCAAAUAUUCAUUCAUUCUUUCACCAAAAGGGCAUCAUCAAGGAAGGAAAGAUGAACUUAAUAUAUAAAAGAGAAAGUGUAAACAGUAAUAAGAUGAGUUUCUUGUUCAGUACCUGCGCUUGCAUUCCUGGCAAUGCAGCCGCUAAAAUUGCUCCCUGAGAGACAACAUUCCUUAUGUGUCAAAAUUGUAUAAACAAAAGAUUACAAAAAGUUCACAAAUAACAUUGUAGCAGCAAAGUCCGCACCUGAGAGAAACCCAAUACACCAUCGAAAGGACCAUUUUUGAGCAUGUAAUCUUCUAUGUAUGCUAAACAGGCUUCGAAGUUUCUAUACUCAGAGAAGUCCUGUACAUGAAAAGAUAAACGUUAGCAGCAUACUAGGAUAAUGUCGGUGGUGGGGAUUACUAAGAUGGACAGUCUUGUCUCUACAACAACCUCAUUGGCUUGGAACCAUUCAUAGUAAGGAGGAUCGAAAAUGCCUUCAACGUCAGAUCUUCCCUGCGCGGGAAAUUGGCCAUCGAGGAACACGAGGUCCAAUUUUUGUAUCACUGGUUCUGGCCAUCUUAAGACUAGCUGCUUGAGGAUUUCGCCACUGGUUCUGAAUCCGUGGAGACACAGGAUUCUGGGUUUUCUCUGGGUUUGGUCUUCUUCCAUAAUGCUCAAACUUUGACAGCAGAUUAUUGCUCAGGGUGCUUUCAUGAAAUCAAAAUGAAAAUUAGUACCAAUUUCUUUAGAUUUGGGCAAAAUGUAAGGGCCGGCGCCGCCGAACCCAUCAUUUAAUAAAAUUGUAAAACAUUGUAAUUUUUAGAUUUCAUCUUAUAAAAUCAACUCAAUCUAAAUAAAUAAAUAUAUUUCAAAUUUAAAUUAUAUUAUUAUAAUUAAUUUUAAUUUGAAAUAUAAUAAUUUAAUAUAGAAAUUAUAAUGCAUAUAUAUGUUUAAAUAAAAUAACAUUAUUUUUAUAUUUUAAAUAAUUAUUAUUAUUUUAUAAAAAGAUUAUGUAUAAGGCUAUUUAUAGGCCGAACCUGUUUAAAUAUAUUACAAAAAUAAUUCAGUUUAAUUUAUAUUAUAAUUUUUUGUAAUUGAACCGUUUGAUUAUGUAGUUUUUUCAUGUGUUAGCUACAAGACACUAGUCUAUUUCAGCACAAAUAAAAAUAAUUUAUAUAUCACUCAAAGGAUAGUUCUCGUAAUUUAUUCUCAUGAAAGGUGUUUCCGUCUGUUGACUCGAACAAUAGUCUUUGUCCCUCCUAACUCCGUCUGAGAAUUGAACUUUCUUGAUCGAAGAAUCUCUCACCUGCAAAGACAAAGGGCGUCUUGACGGUCGUUUGCACUCCAACGCUCAAGUCAGUAUAAGGGCAAAGAAAGACCAAGUGUAUAAAGUAGUUUCAGUCUUAGAAAUUGUGUACCUUGCUAGGAUUCUUAGCACCCUUUAUAUAGGUUGAAACUAGGGUUUACCUUCGCUCAUUUACCCAUAUCUAGGGUUCCUUCGAGAAUGUCCCUACGCCGCUAUUACAUAAUCUUAGCGUAAUCUGAUACAUUGAACUUCCCUUAACUGGAGUGCAACGACUAACAGAAUGGUCAUCUGGGUACCAACUUGUGCACCUAAUCUCUGGGGCCAUCUAUUACGCGGGUGUCUUAAGUAUUCACGUGUCAUGCAUGCAGCUCCCUUCGGAAACCCUAACCCUAAUGGGCCUUAGCGCCUCCAAGGACUGUUUACUCGUGUCGCGCCUGAAUGCACUAUACACACCACCUGCAUGGAUCCCUCGUGACUUAGGUUUUCCUUAUAUCUGUCGUUUUAACUGAUAACUUAGUAUAAUUCUAGGGUCCACCUUACGUGGUCAUAUAUAACUGUUCUGACCGUCAACAUCCGAUCUCUUCCUAUUCUGGCAAGGUCUGAUAUCGAUCUCCAACUUCGAGGUCUAUGGUACUAGUGUCCGAACGCUGACCCACACCCUGAUAUGCGUAUCUGGGACCCACCUUGUGUGGCCCAUCUUUGCUAUCAGGCACCGAUGCGCGACGUCUGAGAUCAGUCUCUGAAGUCGAUGACCGAUGACUGGUCGAUACAAAAAGAAAAAUAAAUUAUUAACAUGUAGCAUGAUUAAUCCGGUUAUAAAAAAAAAUCCCAUAAAUUGUUACAUGCUAAUAUUUUUUUUAAAAAUUAUGAAAUUGUCAUGAAUGUUAUAUCCUCAUUUAUUUUUUAAAAAAAAUUCCUUACAUAGAAGUAGGCCAUUCAAUUCUAUAUAUAUAUUUGAAAUUUGUAGUAUAUGUUGGUUAUUAAUUCAGAUUUUAUUAUUAUUAAUUCUGAUUUUAUUACCCUUAAACUAUUUUACCGUUAUAUUGCAUUAAUGGUCAGUUUACAGGCCUGUUAGUAUUCUUAUUUUAUAGCUUCCAGUAAUUGUAAUUUUAUUAUAUAUAUAUAUAUAUAUAUAUAUAUAUUAUAUAUAGUNNNNNNNNNNNNNNNNNNNNNNNNNNNNNNNNNNNNNNNNNNNNNNNNNNNNNNNNNNNNNNNNNNNNNNNNNNNNNNNNNNNNNNNNNNNNNNNNNNNNUUACGUUCAAUAGUUGCUACAACCUUUUGCCUUCUCUUAUUUCCUUCAAUUAAUUCCUACAACUGGUAUCAGAGUCAGUCUGUUAUCAUAAACUCUACCCAAUUAUCAGUCCCUAUCCUUGAUGGAAAAAAUUACAAUCGGUGGUGUGUGCAGAUGAAAGUUUUGUUUGAUUAUCAUGAGUUAUGGGAUGUCGUUGAGAGUGGAGUGUUUGCAUUAGCUGCUAAUGCAACUGAGGCACAACGAGUAGCGCAUCGUGAUCAGAAGAAGAAGAAGGACAAUAAGACUUUGUAUCUCAUCCAUCAAGGGAUGAAUGACGAGACGUUUGAGCAGAUAGAAUGAGCAACAACUGCCAAUGAGGCUUGGACAAUUUUGUCAACCAAUUAUAAAGGUGAUGAUAAGAUCAAAAGGCUGCGUCUUCAAACCCUAAGACGCCAAUAUGAAUUGUUGCAGAUGGAAAUCACAGAGACUAUUUAUGUCUAUAUAAAUAAAGUUCUUGCCUUCACAAAUCAGAUGAAGACCAAUGGUGAAACACAUUCGGAGCAGGCAAAGGUGGAAAAGAUUUUGAGAUCUUUAACUCCCAGAUUUGAACAUGUUGUUGCCGCAAUUGAAGAGGCCAAUGACAUUUCAAAAAUGACAGUAAGGUUAUUGUUUGGUUCUCUACGAGCGCAUGAGCAGCGGAUGAAUGACAAUAAGAUUGAAAAACCAAUUGAACAGGCUUUAGAAGCACAAGCCUCAAUUGGUAGCUCCUAUAAUAAACAUGGUAGCUAUUUCAGCAAAGGUCGUGGUGGCUAGAAUCAUGGAGGCGCUUGGCGCGGGGAACGUGGUCGCGGAGGACGAGGAGACAUUUAUAAUAAAUCAAAUGUUGAGUGUUAUAAUUUCCAUAAACGUGACCAUUAUGCAAAUGAGUGCAGAUCAAAAGGUGAUAAUCAUGCUUCCAAUUGUGCUCAAGAAGAUAGUAAUCACGAACAAGAUGAAGAGGACCAUGAAGUAUUAAUGACAACCACAUCAAAUGAAACUCCAAACAACCAGACUUGGUAUUUGGAUACAGGUUGCACGAAUCAUAUGUGUGGUCAGAAGGAGCUGUUUGCAGAUUUGAAUGACUCAUUUCGCACAAAAGUGAAAUUCGGUGAUGGCAAGUUCAUUCCAGUGAUUGGAAAAGGGCAAAUUCUUAUUACAUUGAAGAAUGGUGAUCACAGGUACAACUAUGAUGUUUUCUAUGUACCUGACAUGAAAAGUAAUCUAUUGAGUGUGGGACAACUGGCCGAAAAGGGUUACGUGAUGCACAUAGUUGAAAAUAAAUCUCAAUUUUUUAUAAAAAAAAGGUAAUUUGAUUCUUAAAAUCUUUUUAUCAAAAAACUGCAUGUUUCCAGUAGAUAUUCAUAUGGGUGAUUUCAAGUGCCUGAAUGCAAUAGUGAAUAAUGAAUCGUGGUUAUGGCAUUUACGCUUUGGGCACUUAAAUUUUCAGAGUUUGAAAAAUCUUUCCAAAAGAAAUUUAGGCUUUGUUUGGAUUAGGGAGUGGAAAUGAGGGAGUGGAUUUGAGAUGAUUUGAAGAGAAACUGUAAAGAAAGUUAGGGUGUUUGGAUUAAGGUAAAGAGAGGGGAAAGUGUAGGGAAAGUUUAUAAAAGUUUGUGAGUGAUGUGAUGGAUGUGAUUGAAAUUGUAUUUUUUUUAAUUGAUAAAAAUGUAACUUUACACAUUUGCCCUUAUAUUUAAAAAAUGAUAAAAAAAAUUAUUUUGAUUGAUUAUUUGUGAAUUACAUUUUUUUUAAAUUAAAAUUAUUUUUUCGACAAUUGAAACAUUAUUUUUGAUACCGUGUUCGAGCUAACUUCGGAAAAUUAUAAAUUAUAUAAAUUUUUUGGAUCAUAUUUAUGAUUGAUAAACAUUAUUGAGAACAAAGUUGUAAUUGUGAAUUAUUUAUUUUUCAAUUAUAGUUGUAUGCAAUUAAAAGAUUAUUUUCGGUAUGGAACAAAUUAUUUCUCAUAAUGUGUUGGAUGUAUAAUUCGAUAAAGGAUUUUUUUUUUAAGAAAUAAAUAUUAAUGUGUAUUAAUGCAGUAUUUUAGUUUAUUAAAGCAAAAUUCAUUGAUAAAUUUUGUGCAUAAUAAUAAUGAUUCAGAAAAUCAUAUGAAUGAUACAAUGAAAUAUGUUUCAUUCAAAAUAGUCAUGGAAGUCCUUAAUUUGUUUAGGGAUUCGUGUCAUUAAUAAGAUUACAGAUUCGAAAAGAAAAACACAUAUGCAUAAUAAAGUACAACCAAAUUUUUACGUAGUUUAGGGAUUUGUAGUCAUUAUCUUGACCAGCUUUCUCAUUCUUCGCUCAAGAGGCAGGCCAAAGAGUUGUUUUACCGCAUUAGGAUGACCACACAAGAAGUCGUAACAAUUAUCUAACAAAUCUCCAUCUUGUAUGUUCAUCUCCACUAACAUUUCCCAGAUGUCAUAUUCAGAGUACUGGAAAGUCGAUGUACGAGGAAGUGUGCGCGUGUGUUCACGAAAUAUGGAGUUUCGUUCUUCUUCUGCAACAACAUGGCGUCUGUUAUAUUGCAGAUUUUCUUCCGUAGCAUUAGCCACUCGCUGUGAUGACAAAGCGACAACCUUAGAUGAAAUGGCUUGUCGCUCAGCAAUAUGACAUAACCUAUCUGACUGAUCAGUACCCCUCCCAAGGAUAUCAGUUAAUCCUUCAAACCUUGUGUUAAGCCUUUCCAGUUGCAGAUCAAUGACGUCCACCAUAGGGGCUUUUCUUUUUGAGCCUCUAGAAGAAGAAGUACCACCUGAUGGCUGGGAUGACUGAGGUGGCACCAAUGGGGGUGUCAAAUUAGGGUCAGGGCUGUAUGAAUCAACAUUAGGAUCAGCUGAGCGAGGAGUUUCACAUUGAGUAGCAUCCAAUCCUGGCUCCUCUAGGAUGUCCUCCAUAUUGUGAUCAUUAAGAUCUACAUUAAAAUGAUGAGACUGAGUUCGAUUUGAGGACUGCAAUGUUGUUCUUCCACCGUGGCCAGUAGCACGAUCAAGCCCCCAAAGUCUUCCAUCAACUUGUAGUGCCUGAUGGGAUUAACACGCCAUUUUGCGGUCGAGGGCUUUGCCUGUUCAUUAAUGAAAAGAAAUACACUCAUAAUCAUAAUUAGUGGUUAAUGUAUGCGAUAAGUGAACAUCAAGUUGAAUAUGUUACCUUUAUCAACGAAUCUCACACUUCAUCCUCGGCCUCGAAAAUUUUCGUGCUUGGAUUCCAAGCAAAACCACUCAGUCCACUAAAUAGAUCAUGGAUCUCACGCCAUUUGUCCUUAAGGCUUUUCUGCCUGUUCUUCACAUUAUUUUUUGUAAUCCCUACCAAUCCAGUCUGAUGUAAGGAUUUAACAAUGUUUGUGUAACCCUGCGUCGUCCAACUACCAUCAAUGCGGUUACCCAUAGAUGCCUCAUCGAUCAUGGCAUUCAGCAAUCGGAAAUCCAUGUCGGUAGUCCAUUUUUUGUGUUCACGGACAACUGCAGAUGACUCUGAAGCAAUACCCUUCCCGUGAUCCAUGAUAAAACCUAAUAAAAAAGGUUAAAACUUUAGUACAAUAACNNNNNNNNNNNNNNNNNNNNNNNNNNNNNNNNNNNNNNNNNNNNNNNNNNNNNNNNNNNNNNNNNNNNNNNNNNNNNNNNNNNNNNNNNNNNNNNNNNNNUCAUACGUAAAUAUUAAUAAAGGUGGAAUGUCAACAUUAAACCAUGAAAUUGUUCUUACAACAAUAUAAAUAUAAGUUCACGGAUGUUACAUAAAAUUAAUUAUUACAAUAACCUUUCCACAUUUCAUUCGCUAUAGUAUCCCUAAUUUGUGACCCGAGCCUGUAGUCAUCCUCACGAGUUUGCGAGUGUGACACAUCUAUAUCUCCUUGCAUCAACUCACGGUCAACUUCUUCCAACAAAGAGUCAUCAUUAUCCACCCCGCGAAGAAAGUUAUGAAGAAUACAACAUGCUAAAACAAUAUCGGUCAUAGUGUCCACAGAGUAAUGAGGCUCUGUUCCGCUAAUGAUAAUUGGAAAUCGCUUUUUGAGGACACCAAAUGUUCUUUCGAUAACAUUUCUUAGUGAGGAAUGACGAUGAUUAAAUAACUCACGGGCAUUUUGUGGACCUCUUCGGGAAUACUCUUUUAGAUGGUAUCGAACUCCGCGAUAUGGAGUUAUAACUUGGGUUUUGAGCAUAAAACCCGCAUCUCCAAGGUAGUAUUUGCCUACAACCAUCCAUUAAUAAUUGUUACUUAUAAGUGAAUUUCAUGUCAAAAUCANNNNNNNNNNNNNNNNNNNNNNNNNNNNNNNNNNNNNNNNNNNNNNNNNNNNNNNNNNNNNNNNNNNNNNNNNNNNNNNNNNNNNNNNNNNNNNNNNNNNNNNNNNNNNNNNNNNNNNNNNNNNNNNNNNNNNNNNNNNNNNNNNNNNNNNNNNNNNNNNNNNNNNNNNNNNNNNNNNNNNNNNNNNNNNNNNNNNNNNNNNNNNNNNNNNNNNNNNNNUCGAUUGUUGUUUAAGAUAUGAGGUUCAACCUCAGUCCCAGCUGGUUGAAUUAAGAACUCUCCAUGCAUCAUCAAUAUUGCUUUCAAAACAUUAUGAAAGUGACGAGACACUGUUUCCCCGGACCGAUGAAAGAAGAACGAAACACUUCGAUUCUUGACGUUAUAACCAAUGAUGUGUAAAAAUUUAGCCACUUGUUCUUCAACUAUAGAUCGAAAUGCAUCUUUAACCAUAUCCGUUCCUCUUAUUCGUUGACAUAAAUUAAUAAAUGCUUCCGGACUCAUGCGAAUAAUGUCACGACAUCUUUCAGUAUGGACCAAGUACGACAUCAAUUCUUGUCGACGACGCUCUUUUUGUGGAAUAAACUCCGGUAUAGGAUUAUUUGUCUCGGUUAACACACGCAAUACGUUCAAUCCAUAUCCAAUCAUGCAAAGAAUUGUCAUUGCUGCUACUUAUGUCCGCAAAUUGAUUUGCUCUUGUAUUUGUGAAACUAGUGUGAAAUCAACACCAACUACAUCGGGAUUCAUGUCAUUCGUGCUAGACAUCUCGACAUUUUUGAAAUACAUAGACCAAUGGUUAUCGUUAUCCAUGGUCACAAAUCCUUGACAAUCAUAUAAGUUUAACUAUUAGGUCUAAAGAACCACCUUUUAGAGAAAUAAUAAUACUCAAUUUUUUUUACUUUUAAAAAAAAUUAAAAUAUUAUAUAUAAACUCUGUAAAGUGUUAUAAUUAUAGUUGUAUUACAAAUUCAAAAUAAUAUUUAUAAAUUUUUUUUUACUUGAUUUUAGGAAAAAAUAAAUAUUAUAUAUAAACUCUGUAAAGUGGUAUAGUUAUAGUUGUAUUAUAAAUUCAGAAUAAUAUUUAUAAAAUUCUUUUACUUGAUUUUAGAAAAAAUAAAAUCUUAUAUGUAGACUAUCUAUAAAGUAAUAUUUUAAAAUAUUUAAAUACUUUGUAUACUUAUAAUUAUUUUAUAAAUUCAGAAUAAUAUUUAUAAAAUUCUUUUACUUGAUUUUAGAAAAAAUAAAAUCUUAUAUGUAGACUAUCUAUAAAGUAAUAUUUUAAAAUAUUUAAAUACUUUAUAUACUUAUAAUUAUUUUAUAAAUUCAAAAUAAAAUUUAUAAAGUCUUUUAGCUGAUUUUGGAAAAAAAUAAAUAUUAUAUGUAAACUAUCUAUAAAGUAGUAUUUUAAAAUAUUUUGUAUACUUAUAAUUAUUUUAAAGCCUGUUCAAAAUAAUAUUUAUAAAGCUUUUUACCUGAUUUUAGGAAAAUUUAAAUAUUUAAAUAUUUUGUAUACUUAUAAUUAUUUUAUAAAUUUAAACUGAUAUUUAUAAAGUUUUUUACUUUAUUUUUAGAAAAAAAUAAAUAUCAGAAACAAUUUAAAUAUUAAUAAGUUUGUUUUAACUAUCAGAAAACUCAUUCAAACUUUCAUUAAUGCUCAUUAAUUCUCAUCAAUAUACUCAUCAAUGUGAUUAAGAAAAAACUUUGAAAACUCAAAAAGGCAGCAGCAUUCUAUUAAUUCUAUUAACAUAAAUAAAAUAAAUUACAAAUUCCUUCCCUCCACAUUUCAUUCUCAUAUUUUAUUCUCCAAAUUCCAAAUCUAUGUAUGAAACUUACCUCCAGAAACCUAGAGAAAACGAUGCCACCGCGAACCACCAACGACCACCGAGCACCACCAGCGGAACCACCACCCACCACCAGCAACGAAACCGUCCACGUCCAACGACCACCAACAACGCCGCCUACGGAACCCCACCCACACCUUGCACCUCCGACAACCGCACACCUCCAACACUUACGAACCUCCGACAACCGCUCACUUCCAACGGUUGUGAACCUCCGACAACCGCGCAUAUCCACCGCGUACCUCCGACGAGCACCUCCGACAACCGCGCACAUCCACUGUGUACCUCCGACGAGCACCUCCGACCGCUUCUAAGGGUACUCCCUCAACUCAAAACAAAUAACCCACCUCCACUCCUCUUCCAUAUUUAUCAUCUCUCUCAUUUAUUCAUCACCCACACACUUGAAUUUAUCCACCAAACAAUGUACGAAUCCCUGUUUGUGCUGUGUUUGUGUUGUGUUUAUGCAAGGAAUCUCAUGCGUGAGAAUGGAGAGAAUAUUGGAGUUGCAUGGCACGGGCAUAGGCAGCUAUGGCACAUAGGUUAGGUGAACGGAUGGGUAAUAUGGUAAAAUGAGAAAGUUUCUCUCCAAAUCUUCUCAUCUCAUCAGGGAAGCCUUUUUCCCUUUCUUUGCUUUUCUUCGCCCCCUAAUCCCCGCUAACUCCCAGAUACAAACAUCAGAUUUAUUUCCUUUUCAAUCCGGGUGAACAGUAAUCACCCGGAUACAAACACAGCAUUAGUGAAUGGUUUACCCCAUAUUCAUCACCCUGAUCAAUUGUGUGAGGCUUGCUUUUUGGAAAGAAUCAUAGGAUACCAUUUGUUAAGGAGCCUUGGCGUGCAAAAUUUCCUUUGGAGCUUGUUCAUACUGAUGUUUGUGGCCCGAUGAACAUAUCAUCAGUUGGAGGUAAUAAGUAUUUUUUAACCUUUAUUGAUGAUUUUUCAAGGAAAACCUGGAUUUUAUGUAUUGAAAAGCAAGGAUGAGGUAUUCCACUGCUUUAAAAUAUUAUAUUUAAAGCAUUUGUUGAAAGACAUAGUGGCAGACAAAUUAAGAUGGUGUGUAAUGAUGGAGGGGGUGAGUACAAGUCUAAUGAGUUCAAGAGGCAUUGUGAGGAACUUGGGUUGCAGCAUAACAUAACCUGUCCCUACACACCUCAACACAACGAAGUUGUUGAGAGAAAAAAUAGAACAAUCAUGGACACGGCGAGGAGCAUGCUUAAAGCAAAAGGUAUGCCAAAUUAUUUUUGGACUGAGGCCGUAACAUGUGCGGUAUAUUUGAUAAACAGAUCACCCACUCGGAGUGUUCCUAACACAACUCUGAUUGAGGCAUGAAGUGGAUUCAAACCCAAUGUGCAGCACUUGAAGGUAUUUGGGUCAAUUACUUAUGCUCAUGUUCCCAAGGCAGCAAGAUCGAAGUUGGAUGAUAAGGCAGAGAAGACCAUUUUCAUUGGAUAUAAGCAUGGGGAUACAAAUUGUACAAUCCAAUGACAAAGAAGGUGAUUGUUAGUCGUGAUGUUACAUUUGCCGAAGAUGAGGAAUGACAAUGGAAUGCAACAGUUGAAAUUGAUUCAAAAAAACGAUAUAUUUACGUUUUGAACGAUGAUGUGGAAGAUGGAGUCACUCUUAAAGCACCUACAGUUCAACCUGAAGCUGUAAUUCAACCUGAAAAUGCAACUCCAAUUGCAACUAUGAUGGAGCGACCAAGAAGGCAACAACGACAACCUGUACACCUUCAAGACUACGAAGUAAAUCUUGACGAUGAAGUUGAUGACAAUGGAGAUUUAGUUCACUUUGCUUUUGUUGCAGACUCAGAACCUGUGAGACUUGCCGAUGCCAUUCAACACCCCAAAUAGCAAAAGCCUAUGAAUGAAGAAUUGAUGGCGAUUGAGAAAAACAAUAUCAUGACUCAAAUUGGGAAGGAUGUUCCAAAUCAUAAUUAAGGGAGGAUGUUGGUUAUUAAUUCUGAUUUUAUUAUUAUUAAUUCUGAUUUUAUUACCUUAAACUAUUUUACCGUUAUAUUGCAUUAAUGGUCAGUUUAAUGGCAUGUUAGUAUUCCUAUUUUAUAUAGGUUCCAGUAAUUGUAAUUUUAUUAUAUAAAUGAUUGAGUAAAUUAAAAUGAAUAGAAUCAAUUUUACAAUUUCGUGCAAUUACGUUCAAUCAACAUCUAAUUUAAAAAACCAUUUUUGCAUAGGACGGAAAAUAGUUCGCGUCCUAUAAGCAAAGCUAAAUUUUAUUCUCACUAGUUUUAAACACUACAAAAAAAAACUUUUAUUAGAAAGGGCCAAAGGCGGACACUAAUCACAAAAAGCCCACGCAAAGAUGCAAUUAACGUGGGCUUUGCCUUCACACAACUUUGAAGCUAAUAUCCUUGUCGCAAAAAAACUGUCGGGUGCGUGGCGUCGCAAAAUGUUGGCUUGCGUGGGCUUUGCCUACAAGUUGCCAACACAAAAAAUUACAAAUGUUAACUUAAGCGGGGGCUUAGCCUUGGACAGAAAAUGAGGGCUUAGGCUUAGCUAGGGGGACAAUAAAAUUAGCGUGGGCUUAGCCUUGGAUAAGGGGACAAUAAAAGUAAAAAUAAAGCGUGGGCUUAGCCUUGGAUAGUGGGACAAUAAAAUUAGAAUAAAGCGAGGGCUUGACCUUGGUAAAGUGACAAUGAAAUUAGAAUGGGCUUAACCUUGGAUAUGUGGACACCUUUUUUUUUGUAUGCACUAUUUUUGGCAGCUAUUGAACUCCACUUUUAAAUAAAAGUUUGGAUUUUAAAUAUUAAAUAUUAAUAUUUUUUAAUUUGCUUUUUUUUUUGCAAUAGCAUUAAAAAGAAAAAAACAUCAAUGAAUUGAUAAGUUAAAAACUAAAAAACAAAAGUAAUGAAUAAAUUAUUAUAUUGAUGAAUAAAAAGUGUUUAAGCACCGGAAGAUGGACAUUAAUUAGUUAGCUUGGUUAUCUUAGUGAUUUCAUUAUUCUUCUUCUUAGGUUUAAGCUUUGUUGAAAUGCCUUCCAUUUGCGCUGCUUACUAGUUAUGUUUUAUCAAAACAUAUGCAAUGAAAAAACUAUCAUUUUAAUACAUUUAAGAAACAUUGUUCUAUAAUAAAUAUUUUUAUUAUAGAAAGUUAUGCACCCAACAGCUGGUUCUCUAGCUUAAGUUAUGCUUAAGUUAGUAAUUUAGCUGGAUGACCACAGUUGUGAAUGAGUAGUUUGAUAGGCUGGUUCUCUAGCUUCCAUGAUCAUCUUUUCUGGAUUCUAUGAAUAUAUUGUUUAUCAAGUUUCUCUGGACACAUAACAUAGUAUCUAAAAUUGGGGAUCGUACAACAACAACAAAGGUUUAAGGAUAGCUACAUACACAAACAUUUAAAUCAUAUGGUAUAACAUCUUGGCUCUUAUAUGUUAAAGAGAUGAUUAUAUUCAAAAUUGUAUAUUGAUCACACAGAAUCCUCUAUGGAGUUACUAAUUAAAUUGCAGAUGUCACUGCAUAUACCCUAAAAGAGNNNNNNNNNNNNNNNNNNNNNNNNNNNNNNNNNNNNNNNNNNNNNNNNNNNNNNNNNNNNNNNNNNNNNNNNNNNNNNNNNNNNNNNNNNNNNNNNNNNNNNNNNNNNNNNNNNNNNNNNNNNNNNNNNNNNNNNNNNNNNNNNNNNNNNNNNNNNNNNNNNNNNNNNNNNNNNNNNNNNNNNNNNNNNNNNNNNNNNNNNNNNNNNNNNNNNNNNNNNNNNNNNNNNNNNNNNNNNNNNNNNNNNNNNNNNNNNNNNNNNNNNNNNNNNNNNNNNNNNNNNNNNNNNNNNNNNNNNNNNNNNNNNNNNNNNNNACUCUUGAACAACAAAACAGAUCCAUGCAUAAUCCAAAUAUAAAACAAUACCAUUUCUAAUUUUUGGAUUGAUUUCCAUAGUGAAUCUAAUUACACCAAAAUGAAGAAGUUUGUGAUUGAACAUUGAAAGGCAAUGACACUUGCCAAAUGUUUUAAGCAAAGAUAGAUGUCACAACCCAGUGUGUCUGUCUUCCCAGAGGAUGAAAAGAGAACAUAUAUAUCUACGUACCUCACAAAAUUGCAAUAUUUUCCCAAAACAGAAAAAUGAGAGAUACUGCAUGAACACACUGCCAAUAAGAUACUUACCCAAAAUUGCAAUCCUUUUUUCCUUGCUUAUAUCACGAACUUUUACUGCAUGAACACACUCACUCAUCACAACACUACCAAGAAGAUAAAAACAUGCACAUCACAACACUACCAAGAAGAUAAAAACAUGCUCAUCACAACACUGCCAAGAAGAUAAAAACAUGCAAAGAGUCAUGCAUGCAAUGUGAGUAAUACAUAAAUGACUCAACCUCUCCAUGUCUUUCUAUUGCAUUGCAUAAAUUCUUGUCAAGGAAACUACAAACCAAACUUAAGAAAUGUUUUAAGAAAACUAACAAAAUGAUGAACUCAAGGCAGGGGUUGAUCCAAAAUUUGCUACACCAAAACAAAUCCAAAAUUAAUUCACUACUAGAAAACUAAAGAUCAAUAAUUCUCUCCUUAAUUUCAAUUACACCAUGUAAAAGGGUCAAAUUUCACUAUGAAUCCAGGACUGGUAAAAGCUAAGAGAAGCCUAAAUUACUUAGAAAUGGACAACUUAAAAAAGAGAGUAAAAAUUGCGAAAAAAAAUGCAUAAGGGGCAAUAGAGAAAGAAGCAAGAGUUCACUGACAAGUGGCAUGGCUGAACAGGGCAAGAAACAUAAACUUUUAAUGGCCAUGAUAUAUUUUCUUUAUCUUUUUUUCACAAUUAAUUCAGUACUUCAUAUUAAGUAGUUAAAAAUUCUGCCAGACAAAUCCUCCCCAAAUUACACGACCUCUAAACCCACAAGAACUGCCAGACUGCCAGUCAAACUACAAGGUUAGCAAUGAAUCCAACCAAAACUUAGAAUCCAAACAAGAAGUUUAGUCAGUCACAAAUAAAGACUCAAGAAUGGUAAGGGUAACAAAACCUAAAGCUUCACAAAUCCCCUGGGAUGUGUUUCCACAUCUUACCUCACAUAUCAGUCUGGAAAAAUAUGCUCUAUCUACAAUGUUUCAAAUAAAGGGGAGACAUCUUCCCUGAGCAUUUUAUUAUUACUAACCUAUGAUUUGCUAAAAAGAAUCAAACAAAAACAAUAUUCAAAUUUAUGUUUUUUAAUCCCUGCUGAAAAAGAACUAACACAAAGUUACAUAUGAUAGAUUUUUGUCAUCAAAUAAAUAACUACAUCCAAACUCAAGUAAGCAUCUCCUUCCAGUAUUUAGAUCUCCUACCUCACAUCCGUGGCUUGUUUUUCGUGUACACUAGCAGAUUUUAAUCCUUAACCGGUUUUACAUGCUAAAAAGAAAUGAACACAAACGAAUCAACACCUAGACAUAAAAAAUUUAAGAACUAUAUUUAAAUUCAAAUAGAUAUUGGUAAUAAAGACCAAGAAUUUAAGAAAGCAUAAGAUGAAUUGAAGGAAUAAAAAAACCAGAGAAAUUCAAAUAGUCAGUCCCAGUUAAAGACAAAAAUAUGUGUGGAUGCAAAGAAGAUCGAUAAUCAUGCAACACAAAUUAGGCAAGAACAUUGUUCCUUUGCACGAACCAAGUUCAAGUUCAAAAUUCAUUUGUCAAUGAAAGAAACUAAUAAAGUAUAUCUGACAGACACAUCAUAUAUUACAAACUUCAAUAAUCAACAAGAACUAUAUUCAAAUUUAUAUUUUUUAAUCCUCAACUGGAAUCAUGUUGAAAACGAACUAACGCAAGCACAUAAACGGUUACAUAUGAUAGAUCUAACAUAAAAUAAAUAACUACAUCCAAACUCAAGUAGACAUUUGUCAUGAAAGAAAGACAAAAAAUGUAGGAUAACAAAACCUAACGCAUCAAGGAUCUCCAUCCAGUAUUUAGAUAUCCUACCACACAAAGAAAUCAACACCUACACAUACAAAUUUUAAGAACAAUAUUUAAAUUCAAAUAGAUAUCAAUAAUAAAAACCAAGAAUUUAAAAAAGGAUAAGAUAAAUUAAUGAAUUCAAAAACCGGUGGAGCCUUAGUUGCUCAAAACACGCACGAUGAGGUAGAAGAUUCAACCCUUAGGCCUUAUAUAACAUACUCCAUGAUAUGGUGCAGGGCAUUAAGUGAAAAUAAUUCAAACAUCGAACACAAUUCAAUCCUUGGAGAUCAAGUAGAGAGAAAUUAAACAAUAGAGAGGAAACUCAUCAAGAAAUUAGGAUAUCCUGAGCUGCAGUCGUUUUAAACUCUUUUAGAGUUUAGGGUUUCAAAUAUCAAGUAGAAAAAAUUCAAUCAUCGAACACCAUUUAAUCCUUGGAGAUCAAGUAGAGAGAAAUUAGGGAAACAAAACAUAAUACUUCACAUCAUGUCCUACACUACACCACACAUCCAUUGCGUGCUUUCCCUGUACAGCCCAAAAAUUCAAGAAACGAAUUAGCUGUACAGCCAAAAAUUCAUGAAAACGAAAUAACCUCUUAAUAAAAAGAAGUAUAGAAAAAUGAUAAAAAUGAAGAUGCAGAUGCAGAUAAAGACUAAAAAAGACUUGGACAGUUACACAACCAAACACCACUGCAGACAAACACCAAUAAACAAAUCAUAAUCCAAUCCUUAUUUUCGGUGAUCAAUACCAGAUAAAUUAAAUAAUAGAAAGGAGACUAAAACAAGACUUGGAUCAAUUGGCCUUUCUAAACUAUUAUGUUUUUCAUUUCAUCGAUAGACAAAACAAAUCUCAAAACCAAGUCACCAGCAGAAAAGGGAUAAAGGAAUUUGAUCAAAAGAUUCAAAACUUGCCAUCAUCACAAAGAAUCACAUUCGGCGUAAAUGAAUCACAAUCCAAUAAAAGCACAUUAAUCACUUACAAAUAAUUUUUCUAUCCCACGACGCAAACAUCAUGUAAUUCUACAAAACCUUAUAGAGAAUCACAACAAUAACCGAAGCAAUACUAACAAAACUGAUCUUGGAUAUAUAUGUAAUACUAACCAAUGACUAAAUCUAAUAACCCAGCAACCAGAAACUAAAUCUAAUAACCCAGCAACCAGAAACACAGUGUUAGGGUACAAUCGAGAUGGAUUGAAAACGAAAGGAAAUGCAAAACUUACGAUGUUAGGGCACAAUCAAGAACACGGUCGUACUCCGGUCGCAAUGCUUGAAUGCUCAACAGAGAGAGUACUUCGGUCGCAAUGCUUGAAUGCUCAACAGAGAGAGUACUCCGGUCGCAAUGUGAGAAUGUUGUUGAUGCUGAGGAAAAGUGGAGUGAAGUGAGUAUUGCAUGGAGAGAAUUGCUUCAGAAUUGAAAAAUGAAAGAAGAAAAAGAAAAGAAGGGAUUAAAGUAAAGCAAAAAUAAAAAUUAAUUAUUUGUGUGUAAUUUGCAUGGGCUUAACCUUCUUAUUAUUUAAAUUUAAUUUUAAAACUUUUAACGUGGGCUUAACCUUCAAAUAUUUAAAUUUUAAUUAUUUUUAUAAUUUUAGUAGCUGCCAUUUCAACAACGCAACCAUUAUUAUUAUUUUUUUUUUGAAGUUUACGUGAGAAUAACACACGCUUUCCUCACACCUUAUUUAAUUUAUUUUAGGUUUAAUGGAUACUAUAUAGUGUCCACUUAUGGCCUUCAAUAUUUGUUUGCAGCUAAAUUAAGAUUUCUUUGUAAUGAAAUAACUUUUUUUUUACCACCAAAAGGAAUUUAGAAAAAACGAGAAAUUGAACAAUAAGAUGAACGAUGUGAUAAAGACCAAAUAAAAAUAUAUUAAGAAUAAAAUCAUUUUAGUGUUACUUAUAAAAGAAUAGUACACAUCAGAUUUCUCUGGUUACUGAUAAUAGAAUUUAUAUAAUAAAUAAAUUAUUCAUACGAGAUUACAUAAAACUAACUCAAAUUUAACCAUAGAUUGAUGACAGCUUCAUAUAUUGGAGUUUUUUUACGUGAAUUUUUUAUUAUUAUUAAGACUCUUAGGACCAAUCAAACAAUAGAACACAGUUUGAAGAGUCUUAUCAUGUACGCAACGAAGUACCAAAUAAAAUUUUGAGAUGUGUUACAACUAUACCUGGUAAAAGUGGGAUAGUCCAACCUCAUUAAACUCUUCAAGAAAAAAAUGUGAUCAUAUAGACUACUCCAUAAUUUCAACAAACACCAAUUUUCAGGUUUAGUUCCAUUCUAUAUUAUAACAUUUCAUUUUCACUUAGAAAAAAUAAAUUCACCUCCACACUUACAACUUUAUCUACUUAAACCAAUUUAAUCCAACUACGUGUUAAGAAUAUAAGUAUAAAUUUGAGUCUCAUUUAAUAAAUAUAAGAAGUUGAAUAACAAAUAACUAUGAAUAAAUAUAAAAAGUUGAAUAACAAAUAACUAAUCUUAAGUUUAGCACAAAACACAAUUAGUUCAACUAAAAACUUACAAAAAAUAUUGGAAGCAUCAAUGGAGCUUAUUGCAAUAAAAAAAAAUCUAAACAAAACAUUGUUUUGUUAAAAUGUGCAUCUAUUAGUUAAUAAGUUUAUUAUAAAACUUGUAUUGAUUUUCAUUUUCACUCAAAUUAUUUUAUUUUUUUAUAUCUUUAAUCAUGUAACGACAUGUUAUAUUCUUUUGUAGGAUAUCAUAUGAACCCGAGGGAUAAUUAAGACAAAGGUUUGGAUUUCUAAAAAUAAUAUUAAUAAUGCAAAUAAUAUUAAUAAUCUAAAUAAUAUUUAUAAAAAAAUUAUACUAGACAUUACAAACAUCUCACUUAUAUUGACAUUUCAAAUUUCAACCACCUCUAUUGAAAAAAAAAAUUAUUAAACAAGUAAAAAAAAAUACAAACAAGUACGAGAAAUUAAAACAAAAUCCAUACUAACCAUAAAAUACAUCAAAACUAAACAAGAGAAACAUAGUUAAUUUAUACCUAUUAUGGAAAAUGUUCAAGAAUAUAUUAAAAUAAUAUAUUAAAAUACAGUCUAUUAUACCAAAUAAAGUCUUACCUAUAAAGAAAGUCUAAAUUGACAGAUUUAUCAUUACCCCUCUUAAAAUAUGAAAGACAUACUUUUACAAUAAAUAAGACAUUUAUUUCAUUUAUUCUUAAUAAAUCAUCAAGUCACAUGAGUCAUAGAAGGAAAAGCAAAGCAAACUAAUAUGAUUCACACUCUUACCAUAAUAAAUUAUAAACCAAUGUAAAUAACAUUUAAUGAGGGAUAAAUUUUUUCAAUAAAUAAUAAUAUUUUUUAAUUUAUUUUUAGUUAUUUGUGAAUCUCAUUUCGAUUUGAUAUUUAAUUUGAGUGUCAUAUUGUCAUUAACCAAUAUUUAAUUGUUUUUUCUCUUAUUCUAUUAUUGUGUCAUUCCAUUUGGAGCAAUAGAGGGGCUAGUUUAGUGUAUGUGUUGGCAUUUGAUUUGUUCCUUUUCGGUAUGUUCGUACAAGGUAAAAUCGUAAAAAGGAAAAAUUAGAAAACUGUCUUGUUAGAGUAUUGUGUUAGCAUAAUAUUGAUCUCAAAAUAAGGUUAUUUUGUAUGUUAUUGUUUUAUAAAUCUCAAAACAAAUUUUGCAGGUUCAAGAAAAAGCUUUGGAAUAUGGAAAUUAAAUAUAAAUAUUUAUCAAAGAAUAGAAAAAUACUUCAAGUUAGCAUGUUCCUCAAUUGGAAUAUCGAUCUCAAAAUAAGUUUAUUUUUGUACUUCACUAUUUUAUAAAUCUCAAAAAAAAAUUGCAGGUUCAAGAAAAAGCUUCGGAAUAACAAAAUUAAAUUUAAAUAUUUAUCAAAGGAUAAAAAAAAAAUUAAAAAAAAAAUACUACGAUCAAGUUCAUUUUCUUGAAAACUUUACGAGCUCUAAAAUAAAUAAAAAAUACAACUAAUUAUUCAGAAAUUUAUGAACUUGGAAAUUUUUAAUUUUCAUUAAGAAUAAUUAUUUUUUAUGAUAUGUUAUUUGCAAUUAAUUAAUCUAGUAAAAAAUUACAAUCAAAUAACGAGACUAUUGAUAAAUUAAAAGGUAUUCGUUUAUUUUAUUUCUGUAAAUUAUAGGAAAAAUGAAUUUGAAAAUGCAUUGUCUUCUGCUAAAGAAAUUGCUUUUGAAAUAGAUACAGAGUAUAAGUUAUGUGAAAAACAUGGUAGAUCUGUUGAUAAUAUAAGUUAUGUGAAAAACAUGGUAGAUGUGUUGAUAAUGAAAUUCUAAAAUCUCCUAAAAAAUCAUUUAGAUUUUAUGACUUUCUAUACAUUCAAAGAAAACAAUUAACUCCAAAGUUGAUUUAAGAAUUCAAAAUAUAAGAAAAUAUGAAAAAUAUUUGAAGAAUAAUUUCGUGAUAUUGAUGGAUUAUAUUUAUUUUCAAAAUUUAAUAUCUUAAAAGAAAUGACAGAAUUGAAAAAUAAUAACUAAUUGACCUUCUAAAUCAUAUAAAAUAAAUAAAUUAUUUUCCAAAUAUAUAUAUAAGAGAGGGAUUACAGGUAAUAAAAUAAUAUAAAUAUUCUAGUACUACCAAUAUAAUCAAGAAAUUAAGGUGAAUGAGAAUUUAUAUUUUUUUUCUCCAAUCCAUAAAGAAAUGUUUUAAAAAAAAUCAUUAUAAAAGAUCGAUCUAUUAUAAAGUGGAUUUUAAGCUUAACUCAAUCCCAUAAAACUGGUUUAAUCCCAUAAAACUGGUUUAUAGGGUUGAGGAUUGCACCCACUUAUAUACGAUGAAAGACUCUAAUCUCUAGUCGAUGUAGAUUCCAACAUCAACCUCAAAUAAUAUUUCUUGUAAUUAAGAUCAAAACAGUAAACGAUUACAAUAUCGAUUGAUUUCGUUGAAAUGAUUUUUUUAAAACUAAAAGUUACUUAAUAUUAUCAACGAAACCCGAGGCUCACCUCUCCUUUGACCAUGUUAAUUCACAAUCUCUUUCACUAUGCCAUUAAAUGAGUUUGGAACAAGUUUUGUCUUUCUCACCGUCGUCAUGCUUCCCAAGGACCCAUUCACUUAACUCUUCGUGCGUUCCAAUGCAAACAAGUCAGGGUUUUGAUUUGCUUCCUACGAAUCCAAAAUUAGUAACUACAGAAUGUUGUUUGUUGUUGACUCUACAAAUUUAGGGUGGGAAAGAAAAGUUUAUAUCAUACUACUCCACUUCAUAUGCUACUUCAUUUGAUUUUUUUAUUGGUUGUUCUUUGAUGAAGUUUUUCAUUGCUGUUGAUGUUCUUGGUGGUUCUUUGGUCAAGGUGUCUAUUGCUACACGGUGUGUGGGUGAAUUUGUUGGUGACUAGAUUUUUUUGUUAUCAUGGGCUGGUGCAUAGUUGUACCUUUUUUUUUUCAUUGAAAAUUUAAUUUGUAUGGGUGAAAUCUAAACUAUAAAGAUGAUGAAAUUUGCUAAUUCUAGAAUACGUUGUGAUUUUGCAACUAUUUUAUUUUACUUCUACUAUGUGUGAAUUUAGUAAGGUUGAAACCAUCUUGAAAUCUUUUUUAUAUUUAUUUAAACUAUGAUUUGACUCUCGCUAUUUGUUUAUAUUUUAAUAUUAAUUAGGACUUAAUCCUCUUUAAGUUAGAGUAUGUUAAGGUUGCGACCUCUCUAGGUUAGAGUAAGCAAGGUCUUGAUCCUCUCUCUAAUUUAGAGUUAAAGUUUUCCAAUUUCCAAUAAACAACUCUUUUACGUUGUUAAGCCCACUCUAUUAACGAGAGUCCAAUCUACAUUAUUAGUUUCCACUUAGAGAGGACUUAUGAUUGUUAUAGGUUGACGUAAAUAAAAAAGUCAUUUUCAAUCCGUUCACGGUGUAUGGAACACUAUAUGUCCACAUUAAUUAUAAUGUAACGACUUCUUUUUCAAUUUUAGUCCAUCUUUGACUCAUGCUAUAGACAUUUUUCUUGUAAUUUGAUAACUUUGGAUAUUAGAAUGAGAAAUUUUUCUCGGUCAUCAUCCACUGAAUUUGAGUGUUGGAGUGACUAAUAACUCAAUUAAGGGAAACUUCAAAAUAUUAAUUCAUAAAUCACAUUUAUUAUAGAUAUAAAUGUAAAUUUGAGAAUAGGGAAUUAUGAUUGUAUUAAAAAAUAAAUAUUAUUUGUGUGUUUUUAUAACAUGAUUGAUAAAACUUACGUAACCAUUUAAAAUUAAAGCGAAAUAGGAUUAAUUGAGAAAUGUAUCGAUUAGCACAUGUAUGUUCUUUUCAACGGCUUUGGUGACCUAAUUAGAAAACGUCAAACUAUACUGGCAACCUAACUGGAAAACUUCAAACUAUACAGCCAUUCCAUUACUUGUGGAGUAAGGCAAAAAUGCCUUUGUGUUUACUUUUCUAGUAUACGUGCAAGUGUACAGGUCCACUAAUUUCGCAUAUGGUUCUUUCAUUGGCUUUUUAUUGAGUAUAGAUAUGAAAUAUAUUUGGUCCACGUCAAAAAGAAAAAGAAUUGAAAGCGAAACCAAAAAGCGAAAAAAAAAGUAGAAUUAGAAAAUUAAAUAAAUGUUGAAGUUAUUUGAUAAAAUAUAAAUAAUUAUGUUUUCUAUUUCAUUUCUCCUAUUGCAUCAUAUCACGUGACCUAUUUAUAUUCAUAUUGAUUUACUAGGAUUAAUAGUGUUGGAAAGGAAAUAUCAAUUUUGUUUCUUCUACAACUUAACAAUUAACUUAAAUGCUUGUUUGGUAUUGUUAUAAAUCUGAGACUUAGACUGAAAAGUGAAUUGUGAACUUAUGUUUAUUAUUAGAUUAAAAAGUGAGUUGUGAACUUAGGUUUAUUAUUAUAAAUUAUUUAUACUUAUUUUAUUUGUGUAGUAAGUUACGUGUGUUUUUAUUAGUUGAAUGGUGUUGGUUAUUAAUUAUGAUUUCUAUUAUUAAUACUGAUUUCACCGUUAUACCGUUAUUGUUUCAUUAAUGGUUAGUUUACUUAUUUCCUUCCAUUAGUUUCCUACAAUUGGUAUCAAGAGCUAGUCUGUUAUCAUGAACUCUACCCAAUUACUAGUCCUAUGGAAAAAAUUACAAUCAGUGGUGUGUGCAAAUGAGAGUUUUUUUUAUUAUUUAUUAUCAUGAGUUAUGGGAUGUCGUUGAGGGUGGAGUGGUUGCAUUAGCUGUUAAUGCAAUUGAGGCGCAACGAGUAGCGCAUCAUGAUGACAAUAAGGCUUUGUAUCUCAUCCAUAGGGAUGAAUGACAAGACGUUUGAGAAAAUAUAAGGAGCAACAACUGCAAGUGAUGCUUGAAUCAUUUUGUCAACCAAUUAUAAAGGGUGAUGACAAGAUCAAUAGGGUGCGUCUUCAAACCCUAAGACGCCAAUAUGAACUGUUGCAGAUGGAAACCACAUAGAUUAUUGAUGUCUAUAUAAAUAAAGUUCUUGCCUUGACAAAUCAGAUGAAAAGCAAUGGUGAAACACAUUCGGAGCAGGCAAAGGUGGAGAAGAUUUUGAGGUCUUUAACUCCCAGAUUUGAACAUGUUGUUGCCGCAAUUGAAGAGGCCAAUGACAUUUAAAAAAUGACAGUAGGGUUAUUGUCUGGUUACCUACCAGCGCAUGAGCAGCGAAUGAAUGACAAUAAUAUUGAAAAACCAAUUGAACAGGCUUUACAAGCACAAGACUCAAUUGGUAGCUCUUAUCAUAAACACGGUAGUUCACGAGGCAGAGGACGGGGACAUGGUGGUAGCUAUUCCAGCAAAGGUCGUGGUGGCUAGAAUCAUGGAGGCGCUGAGCAAAAUAACAUUGGUUUCAAUCACAUUCCAAGUUCAAAUAACUCUUGACGUGGAGAACGUGAUCGCGGAGGAUGAGGAGGCAUUUAUAAUAAAUCAAAUGUGGAGUGUUAUAACUGUCAUAAACGCAACCAUUAAGCAAAUGAGUGCAGAUCAAAAAGUGAUAAUCAUGCUGCCAAUUGUGCUCAAGAAGACAGUAAUCACGUACAAGAUGAAGAGGAUCAUGCAUAACUAAUGACAGCCACAUCAAAUGAAACUCCAAACAAUCAGACUUGGUAUUUGGAUACAGGUUGCACAAAUCAUAUGUGUGGUCAAAAGGAGUUGUUUGCAUAUUUGGAUGACUCAUUUUGCACAAAAGUGAAAUUCGGUGAUGGCAGGGUCGUUCCGGUGACUGGAAAAGGGCGAAUUCUUAUCACAUUGAAGAAUGGUGAUCACAGGUACAUAUAUGAUGUUGUCUAUGUACCUGAUAUGAAAAGUAAUUUGUUGAGUAUGUGACAACUGGCUGAGAAGGGUUAUGUGAUGUACAUAGUUGAAAAUAAAUUCUCAAUUUUUGAUAAAAAAUGUAGUUUGAUUCUUAAAACCUUUUUAUCAAAAAACCGUAUGUUUCCAGUAGAUAUUCAUAUGGGUGACUUCAAGUGCUUGAAUGCAAUAGUGAAUAAUGAAUCGUGGUUAUGGCAUUUACGCUUUGGGCACUUAAAUUUUCAGAGUUUGGAAAAUCUCUCCAAACGAAAUUUAGUGAAUAGUUUACCCCAUAUUUAUCACCCUGAUCAAUUGUGUGAGACUUGCAUUUUUGGAAAGAAUCACAGGAUACCAUUUGUUAAGGAGCCUUGGCGUGCAAAAUUUCCUUUGGAGCUUGUUCAUAUAGAUGUUUGUGGCUCAAUGAACAUAUCAUCAGUUGGAGGUAAUAAGUAUUUUUUAACCUUUAUUGAUGAUUUUUCAAGGAAAACCUGGAGUUAUCUAUUGAAAAGCAAGGAUGAGGUAUUCCACUGCUUUAAAAUAUCAUAUUUAAAGCAUUUGUUGAAAGACAGAGUGGCAGACAAAUUAAGAUGAUGCGUAGUGAUGGAGGGGGUGAGUACAAGUCUAAUGAGUUCAAGAGGCACUGUGAAGAACUUGGAUUGCAACAUAACAUAACAUGUCUCUACACACCUUAACACAAUGGAGUUGUCGAGAGAAAGAAUAGAACAAUCAUGGACAUGGCGUGGAGCAUGCAUAAAGCGAAAGGUAUGCCAAAUUAUUUUUGGGCUGAGGUCGUAACAUGUGCGGUAUAUUUGAUAAAUAGAUCACCCACUCGGAGUGUUCCUAACACAACUCCGAUUGAGGCAUGGAGCGGAUUCAAACCCAAUGUGCAACACUUGAAGGUAUUUGGGUCUAUUACUUAUGCUCAUGUCCCCAAAGCAGCAAGAUCGAAGUUGGAUGAUAAGGCAGAGAAGACCAUUUUCAUUGGAUAUAAGCAUGGGGGAUACAAAUUGUACAAUCCAAUGACAAAGAAGGUGAUUGUUAGUUGUGAUGUUACAUUUGUCGAAGAUGAGGAAUGGCAAUGGAAUGCAACAGUUGAAAUUGAUUAAAAAAAAACGAUAUAUUUACGUUUUGAACGAUGAUGUGGAAGAUGGAGUCACUCUUGAAGCACCUGCAGUUCAACCAGAAGCUGCAAUUCAACCUGAAGUUGCAAAUCCAAUUGCAACUAUGAUGGAGCGACCAAGAAGGCAGCAACGACAACCUGUACACCUUCAAGAUUGGCGAAGUAAAUCUUGAUGAUGAAGUUGAUGACAAUGGAGAUUUGGUUCACUUUGUUUUUCUUGCAGAUUCAGAACCCAUGAGACUUGCAGAUGUCAUUCAACACCCCAAAUGGCAGAAGGCUAUGAAUGAAGAAUUGAUGGCGAUUGAGAAAAACAAUAUCAUGACUCAAAUUUGUUUUAAUCCAGAUAUUCCAAUUAAGAUUUAUGUUGACAAUGUCUCUGCAAUUAAUCUUGCAGAGAAUCCAGUUUUUCAUCAAAUAAGUAGUCACAUUGAUAUUCGAUAUCACUUCCUGCGAGACCAAGUUAAGAAGAACAUGAUCAAAUUGGAAUACUACAGAUCAGAAGAUCAGAUUGCAAAUAUUUUCACUAAGCCAUUGAAGAUCAAUGCUUUCAUCAAGUUAAGAAAUCUGUUGGGUAGGAAGGUUGCUCCAAAUCAGAAUUAAGGGAGGAUGUUGGUUAUUAAUUCUGAUUUUAUUAUUAUUAAUUCUGAUUUUAUUAUGCUUAAACUAUUUUACCGUUAUUAUUGCAUUAAUGGUCAGUUAGUAUUCCUAUUUUAUAACUUCCAGUAUUUGUAAUUUUAUUAUAUAUAUUAUAUAUAUUAUUGAGUAAAUCAAAAUAUAUGAUACCAGCUCAACAGUUUUGCAAUCUUGUGCAAUUACCUUCAAUCAGUUUCUACAACAUUUUGCCUUCUCUUAUUUCCUUCAAUUAGUUCCUACAAAUGAGAAUAUAAUUAAUAUAAUUAUUUAAUAAGAAACUUAUAUACCACCUCAAGUUAUUUUGGAGUCAAAAUAUUAUAGGAAUGGUUAUCAAUGAAUGAUUUACUAAAAGUGGUAAAUUUUCUUGAGGUUUUAUGAAUGUGAAACCUAAAUAUGUAAAUUUUGAUAGUCAAAAGACUAAUCCCUUUAAGAAUUAAUAUAUUUCAAUAAAAGUGAUUGGAUAUGGUUUUAGUUUGGAGUCAACAACUUAAAGAGACUUGUGUCAAUGUGUAAUCUAUUCUAAUCCACAUAGGUUGAACUCCUAUUAAGGAUACAUAAAUUUUUAAUCUGAUCAACAAGCUAAAGAGAUUGUAUUAAAAAUAUUUCAGUAGUCUAACAGUGGUUGCGAAUUCACGUGAUAUGUGUAGCUCUCAAAGUAAAUAACUUGUUUUCCAAGCUAUCCAAAGAGAUCAAUAUACUUGUCUCCCAAGAGAUUUAUUACUACCCAUGUCAUUUAGACACAAAUAUUUAUGAUAUUGGUAAAAUUAAAAAAAAAUAACUUUACCUACAAAUAGUUAAAAUAUUUGAAAUAAGUGAAGUAAAUGAAUAAUAUAAAUUUAUUCAGAGAUUAUUUAUUAUGAUAAACCUAAUUUAUUUUAAAAGAAUAUAUGACUAAUACAUUUUUUACUUACUCAAAUAUAGUUUAAUUUAUUUUAAAAAAAAUCCAAAAGCUAAAACUUUAGAACAUAAUAUUUUAAAUGUUUUACUUUACACGUGUAAUCCUUAACUAUUUAAAUGUUAUACAAUUAUUAUAGAUAUAAUAACUAUUUUAAAGAAAAUAUUUUAUUUAUUUUAUACAUUUUUCUUACAACAACAAAAUAAAAACCAUAGAUAAAUCCCACUCUUUUAGUGUUUUUUUUUUCUUUCUCUUUUCUCAAUUUGCCAAUUUGCCGUCAUUGUUGAAGAUCUCACCCACUAAUCAAAGUCAUAUUUGAUGUGAAUGUUCUCUUCAAUUCAAAGUUUAUCUUAAUAUUAUGCUAAACUUAGACUUAGUCUAAACCUUACUGACUUGAUUUCAACUUUUCUUUAUAUUUCUUCUUUUUAUACAUAACUUUUCAAACUUUUAAUCUUACACAAAAAGCAUGUCAUUCUUCUCUGACAACAUUUUAUUUCAAUUUUUCUUGAUGGUGUGCUUCAUUUGAAAUUUCAUUUUACUUUAUAUUUCAAUUUUGCUCAUAAGUUAUGAUUGGAGUUUAUUCUAAUUUUUUCCAGUGUCUUAAUAUUUUUCCAUAGUGUGUUUGAUUUUUUAAUUUUCUAUGCAAAAAUUAGUGUUAAUAAUUGUGUCUAACUUUUCUUGUACUCUGUCCUUUAGUUUGAAUGCUUCAUCCUCUGUUCUGCUUCUAAUUUUUCUUAUAUUUUAUCCUGUGUUUUGAAUGCUUAAACUUUUACACUUGUUUUAACCUGUUUUGCUAUUAAUUGUUGUUUACUUGUUGUGAUAUAAGGUUUGCGUGAUUAGUUAGUUGAUGGCAUACAAGUAAUGAAGAACUUUUAAGUAACACAGUUAGUUAAUACUCAAUUAUUAAAAUAUUGCAAGACAUUUCUUAAAAGUGUUUUAUGUUUUAUGUAAUUGUAUUUACCUAUAAUGAAGUUGAUAGCGAAAGAAAUAUUUAAUACUUUUUUUUUCUUUUUUUUUUCUUUUGGAAGGAAUCGAGGGAUACAAACUAUAUCUUCAUAUAUGGAAAAUUAAUUUAGUUAUAUCAGUUGCUAAGUGAAGAUCAAGAUCAUUUGUUUAUUAGUGUGUACGUAUUGAUGUGUUUUGGGAUUAUUAAAAUUUGACGUGUUUGAUAAAGAGUGAUUUAUUCAUAAGUAAACUAUGUUUUGGGAUUAUUAAAUUACGUAUUGAUACUUUUAUUUUCGUGAGGGGAAUGCAUGUGCUGAUAAGUUGACUAAUUUAGGGUUCAUUCAUAGAUAAUCAUUUUAUUGGUAUAAUAGACUUCUAUCUAGUAUGUUCUUAGAAUUCUUUAUGAAUAGGUAUAGUCUACCUAUGUAUCGUUUUUGUUAACAUGUGAGUUUUGGUCUAAUCCUCCCAUAUUUUGGUAUUUUUUUUCUUUUUUUUAAUAAUAUGUUUUUCAUGUGAUGGCAGAUGAUUGUUGUUACUUGAGGUGUCAGCCUAGCUGAGAUGUCAAGUUGCAUAAUGAUGUCUAACAUGGAAAAUUUUAUAAAAAAUAAAAAAACAAAAAAAAACUAUGGUUUUUGUUAUUGAGAAAUUGUUUUUAAGAAAGUGUUGAUUACAAAUUACUAUUUUUUUUAAAAAAAAAUUGUUUUGAACAUCGUAACAUCUUUUUAAUGAAAAAUAUUUAUUGCAUAUAGGGGCUUUUAACAAGUUUGGAAUUGAGUGGAAAUUGGUGUUGGUUUAUGUUGCAAGUUGAUGGUUGAAUCAUAUUCAUAGAUAGAGUUGGUACUUUUUAAUAAUGUAAUUUAGUAUAUUAUUGAUAUUUUAAAAUGAUAAAGAGUGUGUGUAUAAUCUCAAUAAUAUAUGAUUUAAAUGUAUUAAAAAUUGAACUUUAAACAUAAAUCAACUUUAAAAAAUCGACUCAUAAGUUAAGGUUUGCACUUACUUAUAUAUUAUGAAAUGUUUUUAUCUUUGGUCGAUGUAGGAUUUUCAACAUUUCCCUUCACGUCAAGAUCUAUCAAUUCGUGUGUGAAACUAUAUAUUUAUAGGUGGUCAGAUAGCAACCGACCUUAUAAGUCUAACAAACUCUCAUUAGGAUAAACUGUAAAUGACUCUAAUACCAUAUUAAGAAGUGAAUUUUAAGCUUAAUUCAAUUUUAUAAAAUCAAUUCAUAAGGUAAUAUUUACACUCACUUAUAUAAUAUGAAAUGUUUUUAUUUCUAGUCGAUCUGAAAUCUCGAACAAAAUGUGAAAAUAUUCAAUUUUACAAGUAUGAUUAUUAUAAUUAUUAAAUAGGAGAGAUAUGAUUAUUAAGAUCUCAUUACUUGUAUUAUAAAAAAAACCCACGAACUAAAUUUUGUAUUGAUAAAAACUUGAGGAUUGUGGUUGAAAAGGCAGAACAAUUGUAAGAAUUAUCUUUUCAAGCAUAAUACAAAGUAUUUCUUUGUAAUUGAUAAAAAUUUAAACUGACACAUCAAAUAUUUAAAUUAUAUUAUUGAAAAUGGGUUCAUAGAUGAUUUAAAGAAGUAUAUGGUACAAGUUGAAAAUUUAAGAGGUUUUAAAGCAAUAAUAAUCAUAAAAUUUGGAGGAAUGACGUCCAUUCAAAAGUGAUAGGAUGAAAAAAGAAAGACAUGUAUGUUGUUUUAAUAGACUUCCACCAACUAAAUAUUUAAAUAUCUCAUCUCAAAAUUCUAUAACAGAGAAUAAGAUUAACAAUUUAGAAAAGAUUUUUAAAAAUCUUUUAUCUUUUCUUUAGAAAACAUUUUUAAAAAUCUUUUAUCUUUUCUUUAGAAAACAUUUUUAAAAAUCUUUUAUCUUUUCUUUAAACAUGAUGAGUGGUAAUUGUUCUUGCCAACAAUGUGGAAUCACAUCUUCAAGGUAGUCUCCGAACAAUCUUUCGGUAUUGUAGUCCUUGAGUGCUUGAAGAUCACCAAGUGAUGAGGGGAGCUCCACUCGUUGACAAGACUUCGACAAUCAAAUCAGUGAGAACAUUAAAUAUUUCAAUGUAGUAUGUAUUGCAUAGAAUAAUACUUGUCUUUGUUUGGGGACUCAUGACCCUUAUAUAGGACUCGUAGAUCCUUUUUUAGGAGUUUGUAAUCAGACACUUCCUUUGAACUUUUAGUUACACGAUUCGAUUUGUUGGACUCGAUCCGACUGACCCGAAAACGUCUAUUGAGUCCGAUCCAUUGGACCGAAAACACCCGAUCCACAUUAUCGGGUUCUACCCCGAUCUUGACUGAACGAUACAGUAAUAUACAAAUUGUAAAUAAAAAAUAAAAAAUAUAGUAAUUACAUUUAAUCAUCUAUAAAAAAAUUUAAUACUAAUAUGAUAUUUUAAAAAGAUAUUUUUUUCGGAAACACUUGAUGAUGAUGGAAGGAUUGAAAUUAUUCUAAUAGUAAUGUUUAAACACAGUAAAAAAAAGUCAAGUGAUAUGAUAAUGAUUGAAAAUUUACUUUUAAAUACAAUUAUCAUUUUUUACUAUAAGAUCAAUUUUUUUAAUGUGAUUACAUAUAUUUUAUAAAUGAUGUGGAUUUUUAUGGCCUGUACACAUCAUUAAUGAGUGAGAUAAUAUGUUUAAUCAUUUGCCAUUUAAUUUUUAGUACUUUCAAUGAACAAAUGAGAUUCAUAUGUAAGAAAUUUAGCAUCGAUUAUGACUCAUAGGACACAAAAUGUAUUUCAUUGAGUUGAGUGUGGUAUUUCAAUACCUAAUUAAUAUUUUUUUUGUCAUUAGUAAUUUGGUAUUGAUUUAAAAUCGAAAUUGUUGUUGACUAUUAAGAUUUAUUUGCUUUUGUAACUAUUAUGUUUUCCUCUUAUAAAUUUUGUUUAUAUUUUAGAUUAUAAAGUUGUUGUAAAACAUUGCAAAAACUUUUCUUAGUGGUUUUUAUCUAGUACAAUCAUUUAUAUUUUAGUGGACUUUUAUUGAAUUGAAUACACCCUACUCCAAUAGCCUAUGACGAGUCACACAAAUUUCAUUUGACAACAAAGAAUCUAUAGGGACAAAAAGUGGAACUUAUAGAGAAUCUUUAAAUUCAAAUUGAUAUUUUGAAUAAGUGAACAAAAAGUUAAACCCAUUUAUUAUAGCCAUUGUUUCCAAAAAUAUUUAAUAGUGAAUAUUUGAGCAAAUAAUGUAGAAUGUAUUAUAGCUAAAGACAAACAUCAUAUUAUUGUUUGGUACACGGAAAAUGUUAUAUUAUCACAAUUAUCGGUAUAUAUUAAUAAAUUUAUUCUCAAAAUUUUAACUAAUAAAUUUAUUCCACCAUUUUAUACAUGGACUAUAAUGAUAGAUUGUUAAAUGCCCUUAAAAUUUUACAUCACACUUUAUAUAGUAAAAAUAUUAUCAUGAUAUCUAUUACAAUGAAAGAAUGACAUAAACAAAAAUAUUUUGGUAUUAAAAUAUUAACGAAAAAUAAUAAAUUAUAUGGUAUUAUUAGUAAAGUAAGGAACUAAAAAUUAUUGAAGUUUUUGUGGAAUAAACUCAUACGGAAUAAUAUGUCAAAAAAAUUAAUUGAACUUAACAAUUGUUUUUUAUUAGCUAUAAGAAUGAAAUUAAUAAAGAUAUAUAUUUUAGAGAUAUAUUAACCUUAUACAAAAUCAUCAUUAUCAAACUUUCAUCUUGCAUUAAGUCUAUAAUGAUAUUAUACUCAAAACAGAUUAAUCAUACUAAAAACCACAACAUAAUCUAUUAAUCCAAACUUCUUAAAAAUGAUGUUCUUCUCAUAUUGAAUAUAUAGUUUUUAUUGAAGUUAAUAGUAACUCAUCAUGAUUAAAAAACAUGUUGUUUAGAGUUAAUUUUGUUUGAUAGACAAUUAUAUCAUCUAACUAUAUUACUUUAUUGUGUAAUUCCACUAUAUUGAUAUAAGUCUCAAUUUGAUGUACGGGAAAAGAUAGAAAAGAAAGAAAUGGGAGGAGUACAUUUGUUUAGUUAAUUAAAAAAGCUAAAUAAAUAUGUUUAAAAAAUUGUGAAACUGUGAAGUAUAUGAUAAGAAAAUCUGAACUUGUAAAUAUUUAUAACUAAAGUCUGCAAAAAGUAUAAAUAUUUUAAUUAUUUAUUUGUUAAAAGAGUGAAUAUGGAUAUCAUGCUAUUUAGUUAGCGAAUGUUCACUGUCCAUUAUUAAUUAUUUUUAUUUGAAUAUAUUUUUUAAUUAAGCAAUUGAGUAAAAUUAUUAACGAGAAAACAUUAAAAAUUGAUGAAUUAUUUAUAACUUAAUUUUAUAAAUGUAUAGUUUUUAUUUAGACUUGUGGAGCUAAAAUUAUCUUCAAAAGAUUAAUUUUAUUUAAAGUUAUAUUGUGAAGAAUUUUUUUAGAAUGAUUAAUUUUUUUCUAAUAAUAGCUUAUGAAACAUUUUUAUUAUAAUUAUACAUUAAUAUCAAUAUUUUAUCUUAUUUUAUUUUAUGUUUUAAAGAAUAAUUUUUAAAUAAUAUUAUUUUCUUAAAAGAAGGAUCCACGUGUAUCUAUUGAAAUAGGCAAGUAUUUUAAAUAACAUUAUAUUUUUUUAGUAGAAAUACUUCUUCAUAAGAUUUAUUUAUAAAUAACAAGUCACUUUAGAUAUGGUUAUCUCCUACUUCCAUAUCAAUGUAGACUCUUAUAUGUGUGACGUCAUUUAUUAUGAACUUGAAAUGUACUAUCUUAAGUGUAUCCUAUAGAAAACACCAUCACAUUCAAGUCAAAUAAUAUAAAAAUUAAGUAAUAAAUGAAUAAUACAUAUUUUGAGAUCUUCACCAUUAACUUUUAUUUAUAUCGAGUAUCGGUGGUUAAAUAUGACUUUAGUAUUGAGUUAAGAUUUUAAUAAUAAAAAUAUAGUGUAAGGGAAAAUAAUGUUAAUAUUUUAAUACUUUUGCGUGUUGAAAGAAAGAAAACAAAUCUAAAAAUAACUAUAGUUUAAACUUCGUUAAUUUUAAUAAAAAGCAUCUUCAAAACCGUAUUUAGUAGUAUAUAUAAUUGUAUUAUUUCCAGUUAUUUAUUUUAUUUUGUAGAUGCUUUCUAAAUUUAAAGGAAGAACCCAGACUUUAACCAAAACAUAUUUCUAUCCAAAAUAAAUGUAUGGUUAUGGGAAAAAAUAGCCUACAAUUGAUCAUACAAUCCAUUCAUUAAAUAAUGGAGUACAAUACAAUGUGCUAUAAUGAACCCAACAACGUCUUGUUCUAGGUUUUGUAUAUUCAGUCAUUGAUUUCUAAAUUUUUAUAUGAAUGUUUACAAUAAUAUUUCAAGGUCAAGUUAGUACUUCCUCCGAAUAAAGAAUAUAAAGUAAAAAAAGUUAAGAAUUCAUUAAUUAAUACUUAGUUUGAAGAAAAAACAUAUAAUAAAAAGUUAUAUAUUUAUUAUUUUCAAUUCACCUAUUUAUAACGGUAUUCUUCUAGUUAAGAAGAAUGUCUUCCAACUAAAGAUUUAGUUUAGUCAAAAAUAGUUAUUUCCAACUAAAUUGUAGUUCUGUCUCAUACCAUCAUCUUCCUCUUUUAUUUAAUAAUUAUUUCUCUAUUAUAGUAUUUGUCUCAUUCUUAGAUACAUUCUUAGAUUAAUUACAAUCUCGCAUAUUCAGUUAAUGUUUGUCACUUUCAAUAAAAAAAAUAAAAAAAAAUUUCAUUAUUUUAAUAAAUAGAUCAAUAUCAUAACCGUUUUCAUCUAUUAUUGGAAUCGACUUAUGAUCUCACAGUUCUCAAAUUCCAACAUAAUCCAAUGAGACUAAUAAGAUCAUGAAGUAAUUAAUUAUAGGAUGUAUCUUAAAUUUUGACUGAAAUCCAUACCAUUGAGGUUGAUGCAAAAGUUCACAUAUACUAUUAUACCUCAUCUAUAGAAAUGAUUAAUUGAGAUCCAAAUAGACUUAGAUGCGCUUAAUCAUAAUUUAUAUAUUGUUUACUUUACUCUACUUAUUAAUUAUAUUAUUACACCCUUAAUUUCACUUUAGAGAUACUUGCAUCAUUCAGUGGUGAGAUGUUGGGAUAUCGAGUGUGAUAUCGACACCUCAUAUAUUCCGGUACAAUGCAUUUGAGGAAAAUAAAAACCGAUCAUAUGUAUAAUUUUUUGUUUUCUUCCAUGCUUGGUUGUCACUUAGGUCAAUUCAGCACGAACCAACAUACUCCAUUUCAUCUUCUCAUAAAUCGAAGACAAUAAUUCCAGGAAAUGAAAAUGGGGUAUGUUAAUAAAGAAAAAAAAUAAGAGAAAAUUGCACAUAAAUAAAAUUCAAUUGAGUUCUUAAAUUACAAUGAUAUUGAAAAGAGUAGAAAUAUAUAGUUAAUUUGGUGAAUAAACAAAGUAGGUUGGAAAAAUGCGAUGAAAGCAUGAUAAGAUAGUUGUGGUUGUCUGUGGAAAUGCGAAACCCCUCUUUCUUGUUUUGUUUUGCACAUAUUUUACAAGCAAAUCCGACAAACAGAAAGAAUUGCAUAAGUCCAAACCUACUGGUAUUAUUUAGACGUUAAUAAUUGCCAGCUUUUGCCAGCUCCUACUUCAUCAUUAAAAUAUAAUUUAAAAAAAUAGACACAGAAACAGUAGUGAAGACUUUGCUCCUCAGUCCCAAAAAAUGACAACGGGAUACACUGGAUUUCCACACUUUCUCACAUGCUCGUCUUUUUCAUUUUCUGCCACGUGUAUUGUAAUGUAGCAAGGUCCCUCUGGUUCCAGCUGCGCAAACCUCACUCUCUUCCUUCAUCAUCAUCAUCAUCAUCAUCUUCUACCACUACAGCCACAAUAAACAUGCAUACCGUAUUUUUUCUUUUCAAAUAUUAUACGUAUACUUUUUGAUAUUUUAUUUCCGUUUGAGUUGAGUAGUUGUUCUCCAUUUGCAACGGUUACCUAAUAUUAUUCUCUGUUUCCAUCUACCCCAUUAUCAACUACGUAUUGCAUAUAAAACAUUAGCGAUAAUGAAAGAAAGGGUCAUGUAUCUGCUUUCUCAAUCAUUAAUGCAAAAUUACCGAAUUUAAUGAUGUUACCAUUACGAAUGGAGAAAGGGUCAAACCAAAAAUAAAAAGUGCACCUUUUCAACUGGCGGACAAAGGACGAGACACGAGUGGCAUCAACGCGGGUAAAGCACCCCGCGUUUUACUACCAGACGGAACCCAUCAACGGGCUAUAAAGGACACACGUGUGAGUUCUAGAUCAACGGUCAAAACACAAGGGCACUCUAGUAAUAUCGUUAAACGACUUUAUGAGUUGUUGAAAAGUUAUGGUCUUUCCGAGGAAAGAAAAAGUAAAAAAUAAUAAUAAAAAUGGAUUUUUUUUCAUUAUUUUCAUAGUACACAUUUUGUUUUCAUUAAUGGAAUUUUAAAUUGUAUUAUUUUUUGUUGUUAGAACAAACAGAGGGCUAGAGUGAAAAUAAAUUUAACGGGGAGAGGAGAGAGAGUGGGAAGCAUAUGAGAAUAGGAAGAUGGGUGGAAAAAACGCCGUACAGAGGGGUGGCGGAUGACAGCGACUGCUCACUGACCCACAUAACUGACACGUGUCCUGACGCAAAAGGGUGUGGAGGUAAUAUUGAGCAAGCAUAAUGGAGAAAAAGGCAAAGAAGGAACACACAUUAACAAAAAUCAAUUGGGCAGAAGAUCCACAUAUGCCAGCUAAUAUUUUGCACAUUUACAGAAAGAGAGGAAAAAUUGUAGUAGAGGCGGAAGAAAGUUGAAAUGAAGAUAAAAUAAAAAAAAAGAAUAAAGAAUAAAAAAGUGGGAAUGGAGAGUUAAGUGUUGACCCAUUAUUAUUACUCACAUCACACCGGCCUGACCUAGUCCAGGGUAUUAGGGAAGAUGAGGAAUGGGGACAGGCAGCAUAGAAGGAGUAGAUGCACAUCACAACAUAUAAAAAUAUUAAUAUAUAUAGUAAGGUUGGGAAAAUAAUGAGAUAAAAAAAAUUGUGUGUGAGCAUAUAGAAGGAAAUUAAAUUAGGACAUUGGAGUUGGAGGAAUCUUUGAGCAUUAUUGAUGCAUUAAUCGCCACUCCUUCAACGGUUCAUAUCUUACCUCUUUUUAUAUAUUCUGUUCCCUUAUCAUCUUCCACUGCUCAACUCUCUCUCUCUCUCUCUCUAACACAAGCUUCCGUUUUUCUGUUUCUCUUCUCUCUACUCAGAACAUGGGUUCUUCUGCAGUACAAUUGUUUCUCAUCUUGGGGCUUCUGGCUACUUCUUGCAUAGCACAAGCCCCAGGUGGCGCACCCACGCAGCCUCCCACAACCACCCCACCACCACCGCCCGCAGCAGCACCAGUACCUGCACCCACUGCACCCGCAACUCCACCACCAUCUUCACCACCACCUGCACCCACACCCGCACCCACACCAACUGCUCCCACUCCUGCUCCAGCUUCUUCUCCUUCAUCUGCUGCAUCUCCCUCAGCUGAGUCACCAGGCUCUCCUACAUCUCCCCCAGCACCACCGGCCCCCUCAUCUGCACCUUCACCCUCAGUCAGCGAACCACCACCCUCACCCUCCUCCGCAUUCUCCGUUGGCAAGGCCUUCGUUGCCGGGUCUGCGCUCGCGGGAACCUUCGUAGCCAUGGUCUUGGCUUGAAGACAGACCUGACGGUUGGGAUUCGUCCACGUGGAGGCUCUUGGGCCCUUGAUCUUGUUUUACAGCGACGGACGGACGGACGGGAUCUGUUUCAUUUAUUUUAUCCUCUGGUCUUGUUGAGUAGCGGUUUUCUUUUUCUCUCUUUGGGGUUUUAUGUGUUAGUUUUGUUCGUUCGUGGUUGAUGUGUUUGUUGAUUCGAUAUCUGGGAGGGUUGGGUGUUGAUGAUGAUGAUGAUGAUGAUGAUGAUGGUGAUGGUAUUCAUGAUUAUGAUGAUUAUUUUGUGAUUCAUUGUUCUGGUGUUCACACGUGUACGUAGAUGACCUUGAUGAUUUCAUUGUACAUCUAAUAAUUGAAAGAAUAAAACAGUUUGUCAUUCUUUUUACUUACAAUCUUGUUCC